GGAAGAGUAAAAGUGUAGAGGAGAAAGCUGUCGACAUCUUCCGGAGUUUAAGAGAGAAGAGAUUUGUAUUGUUGUUAGAUGAUAUAUGGGAGCGGGUUGAUUUAACAAAGGUGGGCAUUCCACUUCCCGGACCAAAAAAUACUACCUCAAAAGUCGUAUUCACAACCCGUUUCAUCGAUGUUUGUGGUAGCAUGGAAGUUGACAGGAAGUUUCAAGUAGCAUGCUUAUCAGAAAAGGAUGCUUGGGAACUGUUUCGAGAAAAAGUUGGGGAAGAAACUCUUCAGAGUCAUCAUGAUAUCGAUGAGCUAGCCCAAAUUGUGGUCAAAGAGUGUGGUGGUUUGCCACUCGCACUUAUUACUAUUGGUCGAGCUAUGGCCUACAGAAAGAAAGCGGAGCAGUGGAGACGUGCAAUUGAAGAGUUAAGGAGAUCAGCUUCAGAGUUUGCAGGUUUGGGAAAAGAGGUGUAUCCUCUUUUAAAAUUCAGCUAUGAUAGUUUGCAGAAUGAUACGGUUAGAUCUUGUUUCUUGUACUGUUGUUUAUAUCCUGAAGAUUAUGGCAUUCUUAAAUGGGACUUGAUUGAUUGUUGGUUUGGCGAGGGAUUUUUUGGGGAAUCUGACAGGUCUGGUGCAGAAAACCAAGGAUAUGACAUUUUGGAAACUCUUGUUCGUGCAUGUUUAUUAGAAGAGGUGGAAGAUGAUGAAGUAAAAAUGCAUGACGUUAUUCGUGAUAUGGCUAUAUGGAUAACUUGUGAAAUUGAGAAGGAGAAGAGAAACUUUUUGGUUCGUGCAGGUGCUGGAUUAAAAGAGGCACCGGGUGUUAAAGGAUGGGAAAAUGUGAGAAGAUUGUCAUUGAUGCAAAACCAAAUUGAAACUCUGGCAGAGGUUCCCACAUGCCCUCAUCUCCUCACUUUAUUUUUUGACUUUAAUAAGGAGUUAAAGAUGAUCGCGGAUGGCUUCUUCCAAUUUACGCCUUCUCUCAAAGUUUUGAAGAUGUCAAACUGUUUGAAUUUGAAAUUACCUAUUGGGAUGUCAGAGUUGGGUUCAUCACUAGAACUUCUCGAUAUUUCAUAUACCGGCAUAAGAGAGUAACCGGAAGAGUUAAAGUUGUUGGUAAAUCUGAAAUGUUUGAAUUUGAGGUGGACAAUUUGGUUAAAUAAAAUUCCACGGCAACUAAUAUCAAAUUAUUCAAGGUUACGUGUGUUGAGAAUGUUCGCUACUGGCUUGGGCAUUUUUCAUGAAGCACCAGAAGACAGCGUUUUAUUUGGUGGGGGUGAAGUUUUAGUACAGGAAUUGCUCGGUUUGAAAUAUUUAGAGGUAUUGGAGUUGACCUUGGGAAGUUAUCAUGCUCUCCAAAUUCUUUUGAGCUCAAAUAAGUUAAAAAGUUGUAUUCGAUCUCUUUACCUCGAGUUGACCGGAGAUACAGCGUCAAUUAUUGAUGCUACGGCUUUCGCAGAUCUAAACCACCUCAAUGAAUUAUAUAUUUUUAAAGGUAUUGAGUUGGAAGAAUUGAAGAUUGAUUAUACGGAGAUAGUACGAAAAAGGCGGGAACCUUUUGUUUUCCGCAGCCUUCACUGUGUUAUUAUGGUUUCGUGCCGUAAAUUGAAAGAUGUGACAUUCCUCGUUUUUGCUCCAAACCUCAAGUCUCUUUUGGUAGACGGUUGCGAUGCUAUGGAAGAAAUAAUCAGCGUCGGAAAAUUUGCUGAGACUCCUGAGAUGAUGGGACAUAUAAGCCCUUUUGAAAAUCUCCAAAUGCUUGAUUUAACGGCAUUGCCGGAGUUGAAGAGCAUCUACUGGAAGCCAUUGCCUUUCACUCAUCUGAAAGAAAUGGAGGUACUUAGGUGCGAUCGGCUUGAAAAGCUUCCACUCGAUUCCAACAGUUCAAAGGAGCGUAAAUUUGUUAUUUGUGGAUACACAAAGUGGUGGAACCGACUUCAAUGGGAGGAUGAAGCCACUCAAAUUGCUUUUCGUUCCUGUUUCCAACCAAUGGGAGUACUGAGCGGUGGUCGCAAAAUUUGAUUUCUGGUGAGUGCGUUUUUGUUAACGCUUAUGUUUUUAUUCCAGUGUGUUUUUCUUCUGUCUUCUGCAAAUCAAUGCUUUAUAAAUUUUCCUUUUCCCUUUUUUUUUGGGGGGGGGGGGGGGGGCGUGGGUCGAAUUGAUGCUCUGGUUUUUUACUUUUUGUUGUCAAAUUUGGCCUUUUUUUUUUUUUUUUUUUUUUACAAGUUGAUACUUUAUUUAUAUCUUCUUAGCGAUUUAAUUUCCUGUCAAAAGACGAGCGAGAAGAACAUAUGACUUAAAGCAAUUGAUACUUUAUUUAUGUGCAUUGUAUGUAAUAAAUAUUAAGUAUACUUUAUUUUGCCCUGUUCUCUGUUUUUAUUUCAGUCUCUCUCUCGCUCUCUCUCUUUCCUGUCUUCUGCAAGUCAUAAUUAAAUGUUGAAUUAUAUGGAAUUAAUGCUUUAUAAAUCUGCCUGCGCUGGCUUUUUUUUUUUUUUUUGUGGGGUCGAAUUGAUGCUCUGGUUUUCGACUACUUUUUGUUGUCAAAAUUUUCUCUGUUUUUUCAAAUUUAUAUCUUAUUCGUGAAAAGUGAUUUAAUUUCCUGCCAAAAGACGAACGAGAAGAACAUUAGAGUCAAACUAAUGCUCACAUAAAUUUCCCGUAAGAAUAUAUAAUUAGACUGGAAUGCACACCUCUAGAUUGAACAGAAUUAAAGCUGAGAAAAUAUUGAGUAUAGUAGCCCUCUUUACAGAAAAUGACGCGAAAGUUAAUUUAGAAAGAUAUAUUCUCGAUUAAUCCAUUUUCUGAAUUUUUUUUUUAUUUUGUAUGGUCAAUUUUUUUUUUAAAUUACAACCUCAUAGUCAUGCUAUUCAUUCACUCACAGACCAAAGGCUUUCCGCAGCAAUAUUAUUAUUUAAAUUACAACAAAGGGGGAAUCAAAUACGUCAUACAGAAGCUUAAAGCUGAAUCUACAAGAUCUAGAGCUCUCAAGAUGAAGCUUGUUCAAUAUCUCAUCCAAAGCUUGUAAAGUAACCUUGUAACGAUCUUGAGAUUGCCUGCCUUCCUCGACGACCUGCACGAUGCGUUUGUACAAAUCAUCAUACUUGUGCACUGGAUUUUUAAUAUCAACGCCACUGCAGCUGUGAUCAAGAACAUGAGAGCGUUUAACAUCUUUUCUCCAUCAAGAAAGAACGUAGUGAGAUGGGAUCUCCUGCAUGCCACUCUGGUUUAGAACACAAAGAAUGUGUCUGCAUAAAUAUCCUCUGAAAUUGAACAACCCACAAACACAAAGCAUCUCCAAGUCAGAGGCAUUGUACAAAACAUCGAAAGCCCUUGAAUCUUUCUCGUUGCUACCAACCUCAAAUUCUUCCUUCACUAUGUAUGUUAUAGGUCCAUCAGCACUGACAUGUUUUGUGCUAUAGCAAAGAGUACAUAGCCUCCACCUCCAUCUGAAACUUCCUUAACAUUUCAUUUGUGUACAGUUUUGAGAGUUGAAAUUCAUAGUAACAUAUUGGUUUCUGGAUACAACUUGAAUUUCUUGAAUCCAUAUCUGCCAAGGCUUGCAGUUGAUAAUUGGCCCGCAGUGCUUGAUCAUACUUGUCUAAGAAUUCUUUCAAAGGAGUAUUCUUAUCAAGAUAUCCUUCAAAGUAUGAAGUAGAAACCUCAUUCUGCAGUAACGAAAACACUCCUGAUAAAAAAGCUUCCUUCAAAUAAAUAGGAGCCCACCUUUUACGAUCUUCAUAUAAAGUUUGAAUCCAUCCGUGAUCCUUUAUUCCAUGACGUUGAAUCAUGUCUUCCCAAGCUGCUUCAAAUUUCUCAGGCCUGAGAGAGUGAUAAAUUGCUCUAUGUAAUGCAGCUUUAAUAGCUUCAUAUUCAAACAAUCCUUGGAGUUUCUCUGGAAUUUUUUGCAUGACGCUUUCCUUCAAUGAUAAGACAAUGAACAUAAACGAGACACAAAAAAAAUUAUUUUAAACUGACAGCCCAUGAUAUAAAUCAAACAAAAUCAACUCCUUUUUUUACACAUCACAUCUCAUAUUCAUUUGCAUUGAAGCACAAAAAGGAAGCAGGAGUGGGAAAAAAAAAACAACAGCAGAGGAACUUAUUUCCAUAAGGUUUAGGAAAUAAGGAAUUUAUUAAGACACAAAAUUUGAGGUUACCAAUAAGAAUUUGGUUCUCAUUAUUUUUUUCUUCAUUUUUCACCAAUUGAUGAACUUAAAAUACAAUCAUCAAUGAUAAAACCCCAUCUCCAUCUUUUUGAACUAGAGCUAAAGCAAAGCAUUUUAAGAUGUUUCAUCAUUUUUUUUAAUAAAAAAAAACCUCAAUAGUACAAUGUUUUUCAAUGUUAAAUGCACAACUCAAUCCUCUCCUAAUUUACUCUAAUAAUCUCUUAAUUAAGGAAGAUUAAGCUUCAGUUGUAAGCUAAAACAAAUUUCUUAAAUCAAGCCCCAAUGCUUUAUGCUAUUCAACAAGGGCUCAUAAAUGAUAAAACUACUUCUACAAAGAUACCCAUUUUCUAAAUUAAUUUCAAAAACUGAAAUCAAACUCCUGAAACGUAACGAGCAUUAAUAUAAUCAAACCCGAACAGGAAUUGAAAAAUGACACAUAAACUCGUUUACACAUUUCGACAGACACUUUGCAAUCAAUGAGCAAAAAAUUAAUGGAGAAGAUAAAAUUCAAACGAAACAUGCCUUACAUUGAUAAAUUAGAAGGGCAAAAGAAAUUUUAGUACGAUAUGGGAUCAGGGUCUUGCCACGGUGAUGUUAUUUGUGAUGUUCGAGCGACUCAGCAGCCUUCGAGGUUGAAAAUUUGAUUGACCGAAAGCUUCCCGUUCGUUGAUUCUCUAAUAGCAGAAACGAGACUGGCAGUAUACACAAGAAGUUCGCUGAUUUUAAAUUCCGUUGUUUGAGAUGGAAAUUUUUUUGAAAAAAUUAAUGUGUUCGAUGAAUAUCAAAAUCUCAAAAACUUUUUGUUUCUCAUAGCACCCAUGCAUGAUGUGUUGUUUCUCUAAAAGUUUGAGACACAAAUGUUAUUUCAAAUUGAAACGCCAUGCACUAGUAGUAGACUAGUAGGUAGGAGAAACCAAGGUUGAAGUUACUGUUCAUUUAUUUUUAUUUAUGAUUUUUUGUAAAAUGUAAGAAAUAUGUAGAAAUGUUGCCAGCAAUGAUUUUGGAACUUUGCAUAAAAUUUUUAUCAUUAUUGUUUUUGGUAUUAAGAAAUCCGAGGCGGUGAUUAGACGUAUGUUGCAACAAUUAAGAAAUUUCUUAUUGGAGAUAAUUUGGUAGGUUGCAACAAUUAGAGAAUCAUUUUCCUGUCAGUUAAUCAAUCAAUAAUAAAUUUCAAAUUGCAGAAAAUAAAAUAAUACUGUCACACUUAGAAUCAUCUUUUCUAUCUCUUUCAAUUGUGGCAAUCAUUUGUAACAAAUAAAUCAAUUUGAUGCACAUCAUUUCCCCAAUUCAAAGUUCAAGUCACUGCUCAAUUGCAGAGUAGUUAGUAGACAUGCAUGCAUGUUUAAUUAAGUACUGCAUUGUAGUAUCGAAAAUCAUAAUAUCUCACCAAGCCCGGAAGCAUAGCUCUUUAUCUUGUAAACGUUGAAAUCUUAUGCAAACUAUGGGAAACAUGAUCUCACUCUCAGUGUCACUUGAUUCCAUUUUCUGUUCUUGCCUUGAUUUCGAUGUUGGGAAUGUGACGUCUGAGUCCAAGGUUGAAGAUAAUCUCGAUGCCUUGCGGACUGCAAUGGAAAAAUAAGCGGAAACGAGAAAUGAUGUGAUAAGAAGAGUUACUGUUGCUGAAGGACAACAUCAAAUGCAACGAAUGGAUCGAGUGCAGGGCUGGCUUUCAAGGGUAAAAGCUGUGGAAAAUAAAGCUGAUGAUUUGAUGAGACACAGCUCUCAAGAGAUUGAGAAGUUAUGCCUUGGAGGCUUCUGUUCCAAGAACUGCAAAUGAAGCCACAGCCGUGGGAUAGAAGCUGCUACAAUGCUACGAGUUGUGGAGACUUUAAUGGGUGAAGGAUCAUUUGAAUUGGUGGCUGAGAGGGUGCCAGAAGAUGCAGCAGACUGAGCAGAGGAGAUAAAUUGUGAGUCAACAAUAAUGGGCAUGGUGUCGACUUUUGAGAAAGCCUGGAGAUGCCUUGAAGAAGAAUCAGUUGGAAUUAUUGGCCUAUAUGUCAAUGGGAGAGUUGGAAAUAUUUACUCAAAUCAACAACAAGUUCCUUGAUAGUCCAAAUAAUUUUGAUGUUGCAAUCUGGGUAGUGGUCUGCCAAGAUUUGCAACCCCAGAAGUUUCGGGAAAAGAUUGGGAAAAAGAAAGGCUUGUUCGAUGAGUCAUGGAAGAACUGAAGUUUUGAAGAGAAAGCACUCGAUAUAUUCAAGAAUUUAAGCAAGAUGAAGUUUGUAUUACUGCUGGAUGAUAUAUGGGAGCAGGUUGAUUUAAUUAAAAUUGGUGUCCCUCUUCCAAGCACAAAAAUUACAUUCAAGAUAGUCUUCACAACUCCUUCUAUUACAUUUGUGGCCUCAUGGAAGCUCACAACAAGAUUAAAGUGAAGUGUUUAAAUGACGAAGAAGCAUGGGAAUUAUUCUGCAAGAAGGUUGGAGAAGAUGUGGCGACUCUGUACAAGUGCUAAGGAGCUCAGCCUCAGAAUUUCUAGGUAUGUAAAAACAAGUAUAUCCUCUUUUGAAAUUCAGUUAUGAUAAUUUACCUAGCGAUAAAAUUAGAUCGAGUCUGUUAUACUGUAGUUUGUUCCCAGAAGACUUUCCAAUUAGCAAAAUGGAAUUGAUACUGAGAUACGAAAUCAAGGAUACUACAUUAUUGGUGUUCUUGUUCCUUUAUGUUUAUUGGAAGAAGAGGCUCCACUGUUUGUAAAAGUGCAUGAGGUGAUACGCGAUAUGCUUCUGUGGAUAGCAUGUGAAAUUUUAUUUUUAUUUUUUUAUAGGGAUAUCAUGUGAAGUUGAGAAGGAGAGAGAGAAUUUUUUGGUUCGUGCAGGUGCAAGGAUUAACUGAAGUACUAGACAUUUGGAAAUGGGAAGGGUUGAGAAGGGUGUCUUUGAUGAUCAACAAAACUGAGAAGGUAUCAGAAAUUCCUUCAUCUCACGAUCCACUAACUUUGUUGCUUCAACAUAAUUAUUUAGAGGUGAUCAAUAAUGACUUCUUCCAAUCUAUGCAUUCCCUUAGAGUUUUGAACUUAUCAUGUAAUCAUUCUCUAACUGAUCAUUUCAAAGUUAGUUUCCCUACAUACGAGAGUUGCCGAAUGAGUUAACGUUCGUAGUGAAUCUUAAGUUUUUGAAUGUGGAGUCUGCACGGUUUCUUCAUUCAAUUCCAGGGCAAGUGAUAUCCAGUUUUACGAUGUUACAAGUUUUGAAGAUGUUUGGUUGUGGCAGGUCAUCUUCUGAUCGUGAGCCACACCAGAAGAUAGCGUUUUAUUUGGAGGCAGUGAACUUUUGAUUGCGGAGUUGUUUGGUUUGAGAGACAUUUAGAUGUGUUGACCAUCAUCCUAAGAAGCUCCCAUGCUCUGAAAAGAUUUUUGAGCUCCAACAAACUUCAAAGUUGUACUCAAUCUCUCUAUCCUAAAUGCUUUGAUUCGAAGUCAGUUGAUGUUUUUUGCCUGGCUGAUCUGAAGCAUCUCAAUAGGCUAUAGAUAUUGCGAGUUGUAAGCUUUUGGAAGAAGUGAAGAUUGACUUUGUUGGGAAAGCACAAAUGAACUCAUGGUUUUCACAGCCUUAUGUCACGGAAGUUGUGUAAACACUGCACGGGUUGCUGCGCAAAGUAACCAUCCUAUGACAUUGAGCCAUGUUGAAAUAUCAUUUUGCUGUAAACUGAGGGAUUUGACAUAGCUUGCUUUUGCUCCAGACCUUCUUGUUGUUUCCAGAAAGCAUUGCCAUGAUAUAGAGGAAAUACUCGGUGUUGGAAAAUUAGGUAAAGAGAUGAUGUCAAACCUGGAACCCCCUAUAAAACUCCUAAGGUUAUGUCUGGCAUGUAGGAUUGGAUUGAACUAAAUUAUUAGGACUGGAUUAAAUUGGGUUAUAUUUAUAUUCUUAUGUUUGGUACAGUACUGGAUUGAACUAUAUUAGAUUAUAUUUAAAUAAUAUUAAAUAGUAUUUAAGUUGGUAUUUUAAUAUAAAUAUCAAUUAUCCAUGAAAUUUUAUAAUCAUAAUUAAAAUAAAUUUAAAAAGCAAUUACUAGAAAAAUUAAAUAUAUUACAAAAAGUUAUUGGGUAGUCAUAAUAUAAUAAGCAAAUAAAAUUAAAUAAAACAAAUUAAAUAUUUAAUUAAUUUUUAUCAAAUAUUUAAAAAUAUUAUAUAAAAUCAAUUAAUUAAUGGUUUUAUUAAUUUUCAUGAUUAUUUUUAAUAUUACAUUAGUAAUUAUUAAAUUUAAUACAAUCAAAUAAUGCAAUAAAUAAUUAAACGUUUAAUUUUAUCGAUUAAUUAUUAAAUAUACAAGUAAUGAAAAUUUAAUCUCAGGAGUUGGCAGAAGCAAAAGUACUAAUUUAAUUAGAUCAUAGAUAAUAAAUAAAAAUUAAUUUUAAGUAAAUCAUAAUAAAAAAAUUAAUUAAUUGAUUCAAUCAAUCAAUAUUAGGUGUAAAUAAAAAAAGAGUAAUGAUAUAGCCACAAAUUCUUGUACAAACUUAUUUUGUACAAACUCAUGUGUCAUGAUAAGAUUAGUUGAAUUAAAUAUCACUUGGCCCACAUGAUUUGUUUUUAUUAUUUUAUAUUUUUAUUCAACCAAUGAAUUAACGCCACGUCAGUUUGUACAAGAGUUUGUGGUUGUAUCAUCACUCAUAAAAAAAAAGAUACAAAUAAAAAUCUCAUAAAUGGACAACUUUUAUCUUUAAUCUUAUCCCAACUAAACACAUGUGUGAAUUAAGAUUAUUAAUCCCAUGAUUUUAGGAUUAAAUUCAAAUUAAUUCCCCCUUAAUCCAAUCCAACUAAACUUGUCAAACAUGGGAUAAAAGUUUAAUUCUAAAAUUAGUCCAAUUCCAUACUUAAUCCUAGCAUCCACAUAUAGCCCAAGUUGUUUGCUUAAAGAAGCUACCAAAUUUGAAGAGCGUUUACGGGAAGGCCUUGCGUUUCCCAGAUGUAUGCAGAAUUUUUGUAUCCAAAUGCCCAGAACUUAAGAAGCUGACGCUGGAUUUUGAAAGGGCGGGCCAAGGUAAAAUUCUUAUCAAGUGAAAGGAAAAUCGGUGGAAACAACUUCAAUGGAAGGAUCAAGCAACUCAGGAUGCAUUGCUUCUGUUUUUCAAAUCAACUGACAAGUGAUUGAAGGGGGCAUCAUCAGCCUGGAUGGGGAGAUCCUGGAGCAGAUCAGCAGGGUUUGAAUCUGCAUCAUCAACAUCAUCAGGAUCUCUAUUUCUAUUGCUGGUCGUAAUGCCUGCCUACUGUUACUUGAAAAAGUGAUUAAGUGAGCCAGUUUUUUGUUUAUUAAAUUUUGUCUUGUAGAGACAGUCACAAAGUAUUUUUCUUAGUUGUUCUAUAUGAGAGUGAUGUGAAUCAAUUUUUCAAUUAUAUAUUCUGUGGGAAAUUGCAAGUAUUUUUAAAAUAUGAUCGUUAUUAAAGGAAACAAAGGAAUCAACACAGCAUACUGAACCUCAGCAGUAUGAAGCUAAUGAUUAAACUCCUCACACAAUUCAUAACAUGCAAAACCAUUCACAAAAUCAUCCCCAGCAACCAUAAUUGGCGUCCAAUAGAAAUUUACAAGAAUUACUUUUCUGUUCAUGCAAUCGGCGUCCGAAUGCGGCUGAUCGGUCACCGGUGUUGGCGUUUACUGUGAUUAGACAAAUUGUAGGAAUUCAAAAAUAACUUCUAUAGGGGUAAUUUCGAUUUCACAUAAUUAAUUUUAUUUACAAUAUUUUAUUCCUGCUAGAUCAAUUGAGAUUCUUUCCACCGGGCACACCCUUCAUGUUCUUUUAUUUUCUGUCUUUUAUUAGCCGUAGGAUUUUACUACUCUUAUAUCCAACGGCUUGCCACAACAAGACAAAUGAGGUGGUACCUUCCAACCGCUGAAAGGUCGUUUUGGCCCCAGGUGAAAGAGGGAAAUAGGGAAUUGAUGCUAUAUUUUAUAUUUUCUAUUUUACUACUCUUGUAUCCACCGGCCUUUCUUAUAUUUUAUUGCAAAUUGAUGCUAACAAGAAAAAGCUACAUCAUAUUCCACAAAAAACAAAAGUGACAAAACAACCAGUUGGAUUCUUUUAUUAAACUACAAAUUAAAUGGACUUUUUUUUAAUAAACUAUAUAUGAAAGUAGAAUCUUUUGAAUAUAAGUGGGGUAGACUUCCUUUCCAAAACAAAAAAUGCGGGGUAGGCUCUUUUAUUAAAGACAAGUCACAAGACGAUUAGAGUCUUUUAUUAAACUGCAAAUUGUAUAGUCUUUUUCAAAUUGUACAGACAUUUAUAAAUUGGUGGCCCCUUGGAAAUUUAAUGCCAAGCAGAGAAAAGUCAUCAUGCACAAUCCUCAAUAAUUGUUUCGAUAUUUAUAAAUUGGUGGCCCCAACGAAUAAUUGGGAUCGGUUAUGGUGCAAUUAUAGAACCAUGGCACAGUUGCAUCCAGCCGUUAAAUGCACUUAGAUUGGUGAGGUUUAUUGGCAUCUAAUGGCUGAAUGUAACUAUAAUACGGUACUACAGUUACAACACAAGUUUCCACCAAUAAUUGUUCCGAUAAUUAUAAAUUGGUGGCCCCUUGAUAAUUUAACAGCAGCCUGCAAGUGCCAACCAGUGAAAAGUCAUCAUUCACAAUCUUCCAAGUGAAAUAGGAGAUAUACAAAAUAAUAAAAAAAAAACAUGUCAAUUCUUUUUUUUUUUAUUCAUUCCCUUUCAUGUUCUUGAUAAGGGAGGGAGGACGUGACAUGUAAUGUAACUUACACCCAAAUACAUAAAUAAUAUAAAAUGAAUGGAUAGAUGCCCGAGCAGAUCGGCAGGGUUCGAAUAUGACCUUUGGUGCUUGCUUUUUUUUUUUGUGAUUUUGUUUUUCAUUUUUUCCUUCCUGUCAUUUUAUCAUUUCUUUGGCUUUGUCUCUAUUGCGGGUGUUACUGCAUGCUUACUGUUGCUUGACAAAGUUUGCUAGCUGAAAGAAACUUAGUUCUAUAUUGUUUGGUAGGCUAGAAAAUGAAAGGAAAUAAAAGAAAAGCUUUGCAAAGAAAUCUGUUGGAUCUUUUAUUAUUCCAAACUUACAGUUUAAUGACUACUAAUUGAUAUUUAUAUUGAGCUACAAUCUCUUAACAUACACACGAGAUUGUUGCAACACAUAACCAUUUGCUGUAUAACUAACUUGACACAUCAGCUCAACCAGCUAACUAACUUUGACAGGUCAGCUUAAUGAUUUGAUCUGCUACAACCAGCUACACAACACAUCAUGCUCUGCUCCAGCUACACAGCAACAUCAUGCUCUGCUCCAGCUUCAUCUAAUUCACUAACAUCCCCCUUCAAGCUGAAAUGUUUAGGAUGAACAUUCAGCUUGCUGCGGAAGUAACUAAAUUGUUUGAAAGUAAGAGCUUUAGUCAACACAUCUGCAGUUUGAUCUUGACUAGGCACAUAACAGACUGCAACUUCUUUAGCAGUAACUUUAUCUCGGAUGAAAUGGAUAUCCAAUUCAACAUGCUUAGUUUUAGCAUGAUAGACUGGAUUAUAAGCUAAAGCAAUGGCUCCUUGAUUAUCACACCACAUCAUAGGAGUAGAGCUCAAUUUGAUGCUAAGUUCACCAAGUAAAGACUUGAUCCAGGUAACCUCUGAAGCAGCAUGAGCAAGAGAUCUAUACUCAGCCUCUGUGCUGAAUCUGGAAACAACAGCUUGCUUCUUGGACGACCAAGAGACAAGAUUAGGACCUAGAUAAACAGCAAAGCCAGCUACUGACUUCCUAUCAUCAUGAUCACAAGCCCAAUCAGAGUCUGAAAAACAAUGGAGUUGCAGAGCUCCUUGGUUGUAGAAUUGCAGCCUAAGAUGGAUAGUACCUUUUAAGUACCUCAAUAACCUUUUACAUGCUUCCCAAUGUUGAGUCCUAGGAUUGGAAAGGAACUGACUCAACUUAUUGACAUAAAAAGCAAUGUCAGGUCUGGUAAGAGUAACAUACUGAAGAGCUCCUAUAACACUUCUGUAUUGAGAAACAUUGUCAAUUGGCUCCCAUGAGUCUUUGGUGAGAUAAUAACCUGUAGACAUUGGAGUUGGCACAGGACUGCAAUCAAUCAUGCCAUGUUUGUCCAGAACAUCAGCAAUAUACUUUGCUUGUGUCAAGGAAACCCCUUUUGAAGACUUGCUGACUUCAAUCCCCAAAAAAUAGUGAAGUUCCCCUAAAUCCUUUAAAGCAAAAGUCUGAUGCAUAUUCUGAAUAGCUUGCUGAAUCAAUGAUGGACUGGAACCAGUGAUGAUAAUAUCAUCAACAUAGACUAAAACAAUAGUUAUAUGACCACUGUUCCAGGCAUAAAAAAGAGAGUUAUCAGACCUUGAAUGCUGAAAAUGCCACUGGGAGAUCAUUGCAUCCUUAAAUCUAUCAAACCAGGCUCUAGGAGCCUGUUUUAAACCAUACAAAGCCUUAUUCAGCUUGCAAACAUGAUUAAGUUUAGUUGAAUCAACAAAACCUUGAGGUUGAGCCAUGUACACAUCUUCAAUUAAAAUGCCAUUGAGGAAUGCAUUAUUAACAUCCACCUGCCUAAUAACCCAGUGGUUCAAUAUUGCUAAGCUAAGAAUAACUCUGAUAGUUGAAGAUUUAACCACUGGACUGAAGGUUUCUGUGUAGUCAACCCCAUGUGUCUAAUGAAACCCCUUAGCAACAAGCCUGGCUUUAUACCUUGAAACCGAGCCAUCUGAGUUAUACUUAAUUCGAAACACCCACUUGUUACCAACUAUCUUCACUGGAGUAGCAGGUAAAACCAAAUCCCAGGUGUGAUUAGUUUUAAGUGCUAGAUACUCUUCUUGCAUAGCUUUAUACCACAUAGGAUCAGAGAGUGCUUUGGAAACAGAAGUUGGUUCUGAUUGCUGGGCUAACAAGGCUGACAAAUAAACUUUUGGCUUAAAAAUACCUGCUUUUGAUCUGGUUACCAUUGGAUGACCAGAUGGUGCAUGUUGUGGUAAUGUAUGUGGAGGUGAGGAAUGGGAAGAUGAGAAAGGAGAAACUGAGUUGGAAUUAUCAGAAAAAUAAACUGGAGUAGAGUUUGGGAAUGAAAUAGAAGCAUUAGACUGAUGAUCAGUAGGUUGAGGUGCUGAUGAUGCUGCUAAAGGUGCUUGUAACUGAGUAACAGAAGAAGUAGAAGACUUAAAAGAAGACUCAGAGUGUGAUGUAGACUGACAGCUUAAAGAGGUUGAAGAAAACUCUACCCCAGACUCAUAAGGAAAGGAAUUUUCAUCAAAGGUGACAUAAUUGGAAAUAUACACCCUUCCAGAAGAGUGAAGACACAUAUAUCCCUUGUGUUGUGAACUGUAGCCAAUGAAUAUACAUCUAGCAGUUCUGAAAUCAAACUUAUAUCUAUUGUAUGGUCUGAGUGUUGGAUAACAAGCACAGCCGAAAGUUUUAAGUGUUGAAUAAUCUGGUUGAUAAUGAAACAACUUUUGGAAAGGAGAAAUGUUAUUUAGAACUGGAGUUGGAAGUCUGUUUAUCAAAUAGACAGCUGUGUGGAAUGCAUUCCACCAAAAUUUGAGUGGUAAAUGUGCUUGAGCUAAUAAAGUCAGACCUACAUCAACUAUGUGUCUAUGCUUCCUCUCAAUUCUUCCAUUUUGGUGAUGAAUAUGUGGGCAAGGGUGUCUAAAAUGGAUACCAGAAGUAGUGAGUAAUGAGGAAAAAGAUCUGAACUCCCCUCCCCAGUCAGUUUGGACAGUUUUGAUGGAAAGUUGAAGAUGCUUUUCAAUGAAUGUUUUGAAAUUUUUAAAAACUUCAAGAGCAUCAGAUUUUGCUGAUAAAGGGAAUAUCCAGGUAAACCUACUAUAAUCAUCUAGGAUUCACAGGUAGUAGUUAUAUCCUUGGGUAGAACAAACAUGAGAAGGACCCCACAGAUCUGCAUAUAUUAGUUGUAAAGGUUCUGAAGUUUUUGUUUCAACUGAAUCAAAAUGCAGCAUAUGAUUUUUCCCAUAUUGACAUGCAUAACAAAAUUUCAAACUUUCAACUUUAUUAAGAGCAGUAAAGUUGUUACAAGCUUUGAGUAUGGUUUUGAGAGUAUAAGGAGCUGGGUGUCCUAAUCUUCUAUGUAGAAGAUUUACAUAAGUUAAACCCUUUGCAACAACUGACAGACAUGACUUUUUAUUCAGCUCAUAAGAACUAACAGCAGAAGGCUUAUCAGAAGUAAAAACAGGAGAACAAGCAAAAAGAGACUGAAUUUUUUUUUUACCAACUGAACUGAGAAAAACUGAGUGAGCAGCAGCUUGUGAAGAGACUCUAUACAAGCCACCUUUAGCAACACCUUCAUGUAAAAUUUUCCCUGUGUUCCUGGCCUUUAUAAAACAGAAAUCACCAAGAAAUUCAACAGUAACUGGAUUGUCAGCCAAUAAUUUGGAAAUGCUAAGUAAAUUCUUAGUAAUAAAGGGAAUAUGAAGAACAUGGUUAAGAAAUAAAGAUUGAGAAUUUGAAGUGUUCAGCACAACUGAUCCUAUAUGUGUAACAGCUAAUGCAUUUCCAUCCCCAACAAAUAACUUCUCAGUACCAGUAUAAGCUUGUGAAUCUAGAAGUUUACCUAGAUCAUUAGUAAUGUGAUUUGUGGCUCCACUGUCAAUGUACCAGGAAAGAUCUUCAAUGUGUUCUGGAAGUGAAGAAGACAUAGUUGAGGAAGAUGAAGCACUUGACUGUCCAGGAUUAUUGUUUCCUUGACCAGCAACAAAAUUAGAUGAUCCAGGAGUGAAAGAGUAAUAGGCAGAAGGAUUGUUAUCUGGAUACACUAUAUUUCCUUGAUAACCAAAACCCCUGGGUGCAUGACCAAAACUAGCAUUUUGUCCAAAACCAGCAUUUGAACCAAAACUUCUUCCACUAUUACCAUUAUAGACUCUUCCUCUACCAUAUUGCCCUUGAUUAAAACCUCUGUCACCAUUCAUAUUGCCUCUACCAUGAUUCCUCUGUGGAACAUAAGAUGAGUUGUACCUAUUCCUGCAUCUAUUUGCUGCAUGACCAGGUAUGAAGCAAAUUUGACAAACAACUUCAGAGGAAUUACUACCAGUAUUAAACUGACCAUAUCCAUAUCCAUUAAAACCUCCAUAUCCAGAAUUAUUACCACCUCCAUAGUUAUUUCCAUAAUUUUUCUGAAAAUUUCCAUUAUUCUUUCUAGCAUAUGAGUUCUUCUGAGCAAUAUUUGCUGUCAUGUUAUGCAUCACAUCACCAGCAAUUUUCCCUUUCUUUUGCUCAACUCUAUUUUCAUGAUUCAACAACAAAGAAUAUAGUUCAUCUAAUGUGAUCUUUUCACCUCGAGCUAACACAGCUGUGACUAAAGACUCAUAGUCUGAUGAAUCAAGACCAGUUAAUAUAUGCAUCACAAGAUCAUUUAACUCAAUAGGUUUUCCAGCUAGAGCUAAAGUAUCAGCUAUGCGUUUUACUUUUACAAAAUAAUCAGACAUAUGCAUUGCACCUUUCUUAAUAGUUUGAAUCUGCAUUCUAAGUGUUUGAAUUCUAGCUUGUGAUUGAGAGAUAAACAUACUAGCAAGAGUCUCCCAAAGCUGUUUUGAAGUUGUAGAAUCAAUCACAGUAGCAAGCAGAUUUUGCUGUAUCGAUGACAUCAUCCAACUCAGUAAGAGUUGGUCAGUCUUCAUCCAAGCUACGAAUUCUGGAUUAAUAGAUCUGGAUCCAGAUUCAGUUAAAACUUCAGCUCCAUUGUUGUUUCCAGAAGAAAGAAACUGCUCAGGACAUUCUCGAUCGCCAUUGAUAAAUCCUUCCAAACCGUUUCCUUUGAUUGAAGUUAAAAUUUGUGUGCGCAACAGAAUGAAGUUGUUUUGAUCUAGCUUUACUGGCGUAACAAAACUGAAAGAGUUGUUGUUUUGAACUAUAUUUGCCAUUUAUGGCUCUGAUACCAUGAAAGAAACUUAGUUCUAUAUUGUUUGGUAGGCUAGAAAAUGAAAGGAAAUAAAAGAAAAGCUUUGCAAAGAAAUCUGUUAGAUCUUUUAUUAUUCCAAACUUACAGUUUAAUGACUACUAAUUGAUAUUUAUAUUGAGCUACAAUCUCUUAACAUACACACGAGAUUGUUGUAACACAACCAUUGCUGUAUAACUAACUUGACACAUCAGCUCAACCAGCUAACUAACUUUGACAGGCCAGCUUAAUGAUUUGAUCUGCUACAACCAGCUACACAGCACAUCAUGCUCUGCUCCAGCUACACAGCAACAACAUGCUCUGCUCCAGCUUCAUCUAAUUCACUAACACUAGCUUUUCCUUUUGUUUAUUAAAUUUUUUUAUGGUCACAAAGUAUUACUCGUUCUAUUUGACAAUGAUGUGAAUCAAUUUUUCAAUUUUAUAUUUUGUGGUCAACGUGAAUUCAAUUUCAUUUGUCUCCUGCAAUUAUGAAAAAAUUACAGUCAUAAUAUGGGGAAACCUGUGGUGCAACUGUGGUACCAUGUCACAGUUGCAUCCAGCCGUUGGAUGCCAAUAGAUCCCACCAAUUUAAGUGCAUCCAACAGCUGGAUAUAACUAUAGCACGGUACCACAAUUACACCGUAACUUGAUCCCAUAAUAUGGAAAAGUACACCGGCAGAAACUUUGUAAAAGCUUCGGAGUGAUACGGGGAAUUCACUUACUACUAAAGACAGUUGGUGGCAACCUAAUGUCCAUCCAUCUAUUUAGUUAUUGAAGAUUAGUGGUCCAUUUGUAAAUUUCAGAUUGUCUCUCUCUCUCUCCCUCUUGAAAUAACAAUAUUUAAUAUAUCUAUUAAAUUAUUAUAAAUUUUAAUUUACUCUCGAUUUAAAAUGGAGCAUGUCGAUAAAUUUUUUUUCUUCUUAAUAAAAUUGACGUAAGUUGUGUUUACAGUAGUUUGAAGUUUGAAAUAUUUUAAAGAUUAUUAUUCUAUAAGGGAGUAAUAUGAACUGAAAUUUACUUUUCAUGUGUGAAAUGAAAAACGACGAAGCAAGUGUCCCUGCUUUUAUUUUAUUUCAAGGAGGAGUCAUCUCACAUACUUUAGCUCUUAACAUUACAUUUUUUCUGGUUACAUUUUUAUUUUUUAUUUUUUUUAACACAUGCGUGUGGGAUGCUUUUCUGUAAGCUCCUUAAUAUAUAUUUAAGACAAAUCAUGGAAGAGAUGGGAUUAUAUCAAGAUGAUCAAAGCAUGUAAAAAAAGAAAAAAGAAAAAAAAAUUAAGAAGUAAGACACUGAAAAUGGAGAAGAGAUGGAAGCAAAAGAUAUUCCAAACAAAGCAAUCUAUCCCCUUUCGAGGGCAGACUUAUCAGGUUUAAAAAAGUACAUGCUUUGGAUUGGUAGUUACAAUCAAGGGAAAAUAAAUAGGAUCCAAUGAAAUUUAAAUCUUGGAGAAAAUAAAUAAUCAUGCAGAUUUUCAAGAUUUUAAUAAGGGAUACUAAUAUCUUAUUUUGAUUAAUAACAUUCUUUCACUGUGUUAACUCAAAAAAAAUAUUAUAAUGCUUUACAAUAAAUACAAAUGUCCUAUUAAAUGAAUAUAUAAAAAAUUUAGAAUAUUAUAUAAAAUAAUUUUAAUAUAAUGCGUGAGAUAUAUUUUAUUAAUUUAAAAUGUCAUUUUACCUAAAAAAUAUGAUAAAUUGAUAAUUACAUAUUUGAAGUUAUUUCAAAUAUUAAAAAAAUUUAAUAUUAUUAGUCUUUUAGAUAGAUUAAAUUAUUUUUUAAAGAGAUAGAUUAAAUUAUUUUAAAAUACCUUAAUUGUUUUUACUUUAAACAUUACCGGCCUUUCUUUUAUUUUAUUGCAAAUUAAUGCUAACAAGAAAAAGCUAGAUCAUAUUCCACAAAAGCAAAAGUGACAAACACAGCCAGCUGGAAUCUUUUAUAAAACUACAAAUUAAAAUGGAUUUUUUUUUUUGAUAAAUUACACAUGAAAGUGGAUUCUUUUGAAUAUAAGUGGGGUAGGCUCUUUUAUUUUAUUUUUGAAUAUUGUAUAACGGGACUGUAGACUCUUUUAUUAAACUACAAAUUGUAUAGUCUUUUUAAAAUUGUUAUAAAUUAGUGGCCCCUAAAAUCCUCAACAAUUGUACCGAUAUUCACAAGUUGGUGGCCCCUACAAUUCUGUUCAGUUAAUUUAACUGUGCAAGUGCUCAUUCACAAUCUUCCAGGUCAUGCUCUUAAUAAUUUUUUUUUUUUUUUCUGCAUUCCCUUUCAUGCUCUUAAUAAUUGAAGAGCAUACUUUUCAUUUUCAAAUGUGGAGCCGCAGCUAAUGUCGUUAAUUUAAUUUGGGAUUAAAUUAGGGGACCAUUAUAUUGCAGUGUGCACUAAUUUUUGUGUUUAUCUAAACUCCUUAAAUUUAAGACAUAUUAUGGCAUAAAUAAGAAUAUAACAAUAACAAAAGAGUUAGAAAGUGUAGAGAAGAUCUUGCAGAAAUAUAAAUAAUAUCUAUUUUAAAAUAAUUUUUAAUAUUUUAUGAUCCAUUAGAUAUAUUUUAUUAUAUUAAAGUAAAUUUUAUAAUAAAUGAAAACAUACUAUUAAAAUGAAUAUAUAGAAAAUUUAGAGUAUUUUAAAUAUUAUAUAAAAUAAUUUUAAUAAAAUAUGUGAGAUAUUCAUAUUUUAUUAAUUUAAAAUACCAUUUAACCUAAAGAUUUAUUUAUGAUAAAUUAAUAAUUAUAUUUUUGAAAUUACUUCAAAUAUUAAAAAAAUUAAUAUUACUAAUCUAUUAGAUAGAUUAAAUUAUAUAUAUUAUUUUCUAUUUAUUAAAAAAUUAAAAUUAUUUUUAAUUACUAUUCAAAAAAUAUAAUGAUAAAAAAAAAUCUUAACAUCUUUAUUAAAAAUUUAAAAUUUACAUGAUCAAUUCUCUAAAUAUUUAGGGUAUAUGUGAACAUCGGUGGAGAAGCUUUAUUUAAUAUUAUUGAUUUAAAUAAUAUGUCAAUUAAAAAUGUGCGGAGAAGAAAUUUCGGUGGGUAUUUUAGUCUUUUCAGCAAUUAUCAUGAUCAGAUCAGCCUUUAGCCUUGAAACGUCGGUCAGAAAGUUUUAAAAUUAACGCUAACAAGAAAAAGCUAGGUCAUAUUCCACAAAAGCAAAAGUGACAAAACAACCAGUUGGUUUCUUUUACUAAACUACAAAUUAAAAGUGGAUUCUUUUGAAUACAAGUGGGACAGACGAUUAGGCUCUUUUUAUUAAAGGCAAGUAAAAAGUAGUCGAAUAGUCUUUUUCAAAUUCUUGUUUUAAUAUUUUUCAAAACUAGUUUUUGGUAAUUACAAUCGGGUCAUUCAUUAAUCAUUAUUCAGAGUAAUUAUGAAUUUCCCAAUUAUAAUUACUAACUGUUUUUCCUUAACCACUCGGCUCAGCCCGAGUGGCCAGGGCUGCUGCCCUCCAAGUUCGAACCCCCACAAAAGUAUUGUGGGGGUAUUUUCUUUCUCAAUUAAUUUGAGUGAAGGUAGUCUUUUCCUUUAUCCAUGAGUGAGGAGUAGACAUCCCUCGAAUAUUUGUGAGGGUUAAAAUCUGAGUAGAGCUCUAUUAGCAUUGAUGUAAGUUGAUCCCAGUAAUUGUCUGAUCUGUAAAUAUCAGGUUAAAAUCUGGGCAAAGCUCCAUUAGCAUUGAUGUAAGUUGAUCCCAGUAAUUGUCUGAUCUAUAAAUAUCAGUUAUAGUCUCAUGUAAUAUGAGUUGUAAUCUGAGCAAUAGUCUCGUGUAAUAAAAAAAAAAAAAAACUAUUUUUCCUUCAAAAGUUAGAGACUCGUGUUUGCAACUUGCAAGUGUGAAUGUGCAAUGCUCUUUGUCUAAAGGCUAGUGUUUCUAGUGGGUCCCGACUCGAGCGUGCCUAAAUCAUUUUAAAAUUUUUCCCGUAUAAUGGACAGAGGUCAUUACUAAAAUUUCUCUUCCACAGGCAAUUACAGCAGCUCCAGUUUAUCAAACUCAACCAAUUUUCUUUCUUAACAAAAUUCCAAAGAUGUGUAGCUUUUUUCAGAUCACAUGCGAUGGUGCUCUUUUCAAUCGUUGCUUGGAUUGCUUUCUUGGAAAAGCAGCAUACAUACGUAACCUCCAAGAUAAUCUUGAUGCCUUGGAGACUGAAUUGGGAAAUCUGAUCGCUAAAAAGAACGAUGUGAUGAGGAGGGUUGUCGAUGCUGAACGGCAACAAAUGAGAAGGCUGGACGGAGUGCAAGUGUGGGUUUCGAGGGUGGAUGCUUUUAAAACUGGAGCCGAUGAACUUAUCAUAGACGGCUCUGAAGAAAUUGGCAAAUUAUGUGUUGGAGGCUACUGUUCCAAGAACUGCAGGUCAAGCUACAAAUUCGGAAAACAAGUGGCUAGAAAGCUACGAGAUGUGGAGACUUUAAUCGCCGAGGGAGUUUUUGAGGCGGUGGCUACUGAGGUGGUGCCUGAGAGAGCUCCAGAGCCUGUAGCAGAUAAAAGACCCAUUGAGCCAACAAUAGUAGGCUUGCAAUCACAGCUUGAACAAGUUUGGAGAUGUCUUGUAGAAGAAUCAGUGGGAAUCAUUGGCCUAUAUGGUAUGGGCGGUGUUGGUAAAACCACACUAUUGACCCAUAUCAACAAUAAAUUUCUUGAGAGUCCCACAAACUUUGAUUGUGUGAUUUGGGUCCUAGUUUCAAAAGACCUGCGACUUGAAAAAAUUCAAGAAGAUAUUGGGAAGAAGAUAGGUUUGGUUGAUGAUUCAUGGAAGAAUAAAAGUUUUGAAGAGAAAGCUGUGGACAUCCUGCGGAGAUUAGGAGAGAAGAGAUUUGUAUUGUUGUUAGAUGAUUUAUGGGAGCGGGUUGAUUUAACAGAAGUGGGCGUUCCACUUCCCAGCGCACAAAAUACUACCUCAAAAGUCGUAUUCACAACCCGUUCCAUUGGUGUUUGUGGCAGCAUGAGAGCUAGGCCGGUUAAAGUGGCAUGCCUAUCAGAAAAGCAAGCUUGGGAACUGUUCCGCGAAAAUGUUGGGGAAGAAACUCUUGAGAGUGAUCAUGAGAUCGUUGAGCUAGCCCAAACUGUAGCCAAAGAGUGUGGUGGUUUGCCACUCGCACUUAUUACUAUUGGUCGAGCUAUGGCCAACAGAAAUACAGCUGAGGAGUGGAGACAUGCAAUUGAAGUAUUAAAAAGGUCAGCUUCGGAGUUUGCGGGUUUGGAAAAAGAUGUAUAUCCUCUUUUAAAGUUUAGUUAUGAUAGUUUGCAGAAUGAGACGAUUAGAACUUGUUUCUUAUAUUGCUGUUUGUAUGCGGAAGAUUAUGUCAUUCCUAAAUGGGACUUGAUUGAUUGUUGGAUUGGUGAGGGAUUCUUAGAGGAAUCUCACGGUUUUGGUGCAGAAAACCAAGGAUACUACAUUGUGGGCACUCUUGUUCGUGCAUGUUUAUUAGAAGAGGUGGAAGAUGAUGAAGUAAAAAUGCAUGACGUUAUUCGUGAUAUGGCUAUAUGGAUAACCUGUGAAAUUGAGAAGGAGAAGAGAAACUUUUUGGUUCGUGCAGGUGCUGGAUUAAAAGAGGCACCGGAUGUUAAAAGAUGGGAAAAUGUGAGAAGAUUGUCAUUGAUGCAAAACCAAAUUGAAACUCUGUCAGAGGUUCCCACAUGCCCUCAUCUCCAUACUCUAUUUCUUGCCUCUAAUAAUAGUUUGCAGAGGAUCACCGAUGGCUUCUUCCAACUUAUGCCUUCUCUCAAAGUUUUGAAGAUGUCAAACUGCUGGAAUUUUACUUUGAAAUUACCUUUGGCGAUGUCAGAGUUGGGUUCGUCACUAGAACUUCUUGAUAUUUCAUAUGCCAGCAUAACAGAGUUACCAGAAGAGUUAAAGUUGUUGGUAAAUCUGAAAUGUUUGAAUUUGAGGUGGACAGAUACGUUAAAUAAAAUUCCACGGCAACUAAUAUCAAUUCUUUCAUGGUUACGUGUGUUGAGAAUGUUGGGUACUGGCUGGUUCAAUUUUCUUGAAGCACCAGAAGACAGCGUUUUAUUUGGUGGGGGUGAAGUUUUGAUACAGGAAUUGCUCGGUUUGAAAUAUUUAGAGGUAUUGGAGUUGACCUUGGGAAGUUAUCAUGCUCUCCAAAUUCUUUUGAGCUCAAAUAAGUUAAAAAGUUGUAUUCGAUCUCUUUACCUCCAUUUGACCGGAGAUACAGCGUCAAUUAUUGAUGCUACGGUUUUCGCAGAUCUAAACCAACUCAAUCAAUUAUGGAUUGAUGAAGGUAUUGAGUUGGAAGAAUUGAAGAUUGAUUAUACGGAGAUAGUACGAAAAAGGCGGGAACCUUUUGUUUUCCGCAGCCUUCACUGUGUUCGUAUAGAGCAGUGCCAUAAAUUGAAAGAUGUGACAUUCCUCAUUUUUGCUCCAAACCUCAAGUCUCUUGACCUAUCCUACUGCUCUUCUAUGGAAGAAGUAAUCAGCGUCGGAAAAUUUGCUGAGACUCCUGAGAUGAUGGGACAUAUAAGCCCUUUUGAAAAUCUCCAAAGUCUUCAUUUAUCGCAAUUGCCAGCUUUGAAGAGCAUCUACUGGAAGCCAUUGCCUUUCACUCAUCUCAAAGAAAUAUCUGUGGGUUAUUGCCGUAAUCUUAAAAAGCUUCCACUCGAUUCCAACAGUGCAAAGGAGCGUAAAUUUGUAAUUCGUGGAGAAGAAGACUGGUGGAACCGACUUCAAUGGGAGGAUGAAGCCACUCAAAUUGCUUUUCGUUCCUGUUUCCAACCAAUGGGAGUACUGAGCGGUGGUCGCAAAAUUUGAUUUCUGGUGAGUGCGUUUGUCUUUUAAAAGCAGAAUUUAAAAGAAAUUUAUUCUUGUCGUUUUCUUCUCUGUUUUUAUUUGAUUUCUGGUUAGUUUCUCUCUCGCACUGCCAUUACUGUUUUAAUUUCCUGUCAAAAGACGAGCGAGAAGAACAUAUAUAUGACGUAAACCAAUUGAUAAAUAUUAAUUGCCUGUUCUCUGUUUUUAUUAAGUAUACUUUAUUUUGCCCUGUUCUCUGUUUUUAUUUCAUUCUCUCUCUCUCCCUCUCUUUCCUGUCUUCUGCAAGUCAUAAUUAAAUGUUGAAUUAUAUGGAAUUAAUGCUUUAUAAAUCUGCCUACGCUGGCUUUUUUUUUUUUUUUUGUGGGGUCGAAUUGAUGCUCUGGUUUUCGACUACUUUUUGUUGUCAAAAUUUUCUCUGUUUUUUCAAAUUGAUGCUUUAUUUAUAUCUUCUUCGUGAAAAGUGAUUUAAUUUCCUGCCAAAAGACGAACGAGAAGAACAUUAGAGUCUAACUAAUGCUCACAUAAAUUUCCCGUAAGAAUAUAUAUAUAAUUAGACUGGAAUGCACACCUCUAGAUUGAACAGAAUUAAAGCUGAGAAAAUAUUGAGUAUAGUAGCCCUCUUUACAGAAAAUGACGCGAAAGUUAAUUUAGAAAAAGAUAUAUUCUUGAUUAAUCCAUUUUCUGAAGUUUUUUAUUUUGUAUGGUCAAUUAUACCUUCAUACUAAAAAUUUCUGAAGUUAUGGGGUUGUUGGAUGUGUUUUGGAUAUUUGCAGCUAAGUUUGAGUUUAUAUCUCAACUUAAAAUUUGUAGUUUUCACUUGAAAAAAUUCAGUUAAAAAUUUAUUGGUAGAAUUGUGAAAAAAGUUAAAAUUUUUAGUUCAACCCGAUUGCAUAUUUAAGAACAUCUCAAAUGAAUUGCUUACUGCUAUCAUCAUCAUUAUUGUCCAUAUAAUAAUGGAUCUUUAUUAUAUAUAUAUAUGUUUCCACUAAAAUAUAUUUAAUUAUUCUUUAUUUUUCCAUUGUUGCGUGUAAGAUUUAUUUGAGUUCUAAGUUAUAUCAAUACAAAUGUUAUCUUAUCCAUAAAAAAGUUAGAUCCAACAAUUAUGAAAAUUACCAUAGAGUUGCUUUCAAUUAUUUUUUAAAAAUACCAGGAGUAAAUAAUAAUUAGUUCAAGUGGUGUAGACUAAAAAGUGUUCACCUUUAUUUUUUAUCUGUUAUUUAUUUAUUUCAUUAAUGCACAUGCUAUACAUUUGAGACACUCCAUCCUAUGCAAUGUGAAUAAAUUUCUUUCCUUUUUCCUUUACUCUUUUUAUUUGACAAUAAAGUUUCCAUCUAUCAUCUAUCAUCUAUCAUCUAUGUACGCAAAAUUUCUGCAACAAGUACAAAACAUAAAAAUAUAUAUGAUUGUUAAGGGAAACACGCAGAAGUUCAUCAUUUCAAUGUUCAGUAUUACCAAUUUUGGCAUUAAGCUUGUACGAAUAUAUUCCACUUAGAAAGCAAAAUAUUAGACUCAUGAUUUUAAUUCAUUCAUUAUCUCUCAUUUUAAUCCCAAAAUAUUCAAGAGUAUCCAAGUUACCAUAAGACUUCAGAGGCUCGAGCCUUAGCCAGAGAUGGUUAAUUGAUAGACUAUGUGCCUGGGUCGAGCACUGGAAGCCUGCAAUGCAGACUGAUUGAUUUAUCAGUUUGACGUGUGCCAGGAAUGAAGAACUGGAAUAUCACCGUCAAGCACGCACCCUGUGGAGCAAUACCAAAGAAUGCACAAUCUGGCUUUGCUAGGUGACACUGGAGGCUUUUUGAAAAGUGCUUCACGCUCACUUGCACAGAUUGAGCAUCCCCUCCGGAUAUUGCCCUCUCUGAUCGAGUCCGAGCACUCAAAUUUCAAUCCUCAGAUGGAGCUACAGCUUUCUCUCCAAUAACCAACAAUUUUCUAAACUCAGCUCCUAGUGUGAUGAGAGUUGUUGAUAUUUGUAAAUGGAGAUCCCCAUAUUUGCAAAUGGAGACAUUUAACAAAUCACCAACAUGCUUCAUUCGGUCUACGAAAUUCUGCAGCUGAUUCAAAUCCGGAACCUGAACCAGAGUCGGAGGUAAAUCUUGAGCCAUAUCUAAAGCAGUCUGAAGUUCAAGUACUUGAGCCCUUGACAAUGGUUUUGAAAUAGGAACAUCUUGGAUUACUGCAGACUUGUACCCCUUGGUUUCAAAGGUAAGGAAAGGCAUUGCUUGAGUACAAUUUGGAGGCAGCUUCUUCACCAAUUUUAUUUGGAGGCGAUUGGCAGCGGAUCCAGCUGCACCAAUUUCAGAGCAAAUACUGACACUACUUCGAACAGCACACUGAAGAAGUGAUAUGUCUACGGCAAAGGCAAUGCAGUCCUCAUUUUGGCUUGAGAUGCAGUAAUCAUCGAAGAGAGUUUCCUUGUGAAACUGGGCAACACAUUGAAUCCCUUCGCCACUGAGAAGGUUGUGGAGGAAGUAAGCUUUCUCUCUAGUGAGGAAGAGGUGGCAUACCUUCCCCAUUUUGUCUAGGGCAGGUAGGAAUCAUUUUUCUAAGAGAUUUACUUCAUUCUCUGUGAGAAAUGAAUUGAACUUCAUCCCUCUGUCUCUAUCCUCACUUAUCAGAAAAUAAGUUGAAAGCACUUCGGAGAGAGAGAGAGAGAGAAUUAAGAUAUAUAGACAAGAAAAAUAUUAGACGUUGAUCUUACAAACUAAUACUUCAAGCAGUAUCCUAGAAAGCUAAAAACUGCAAGAUGGCUUGAAAUUUGAAAAGAGCACGUGCUUUUCCUCCUUAACUUGAGAAAAUGUUUAAUAUAGUGCACCUACAGAAGCAUUUAAGCAAUUAGAACUUUGCACAAAAACAUCAAGAAGACUAAACAAAUCAGAUGCAGUGUAUUUGUCCAAGCACAAAUUGCAUUUUGUCCUCAACUUUAAUAUUUAUUGAUGAGAAUCAAUACAGGUCCCUCAUUUGAUAUAGAAAGCUUUCUUUCUUGUAGUCUCACCAGUUAAUUCACAGGUCUAUAAUCAUCUUGCAAAGUUAAGGGCAUUUCUUUCGAUCUAAAGUCUUUGCAUCACCACCUCAUCACACGCCAAGCCAAUAUUCCAUUUACCUCUACAACAAAAAGUUUUAAGUAAACAAUCCUAAUGCACGCAGCCAAAUAAAAUGCAGUAAGAAUAUUCAACUUAAAAAUCUGAAAGCCGACUUGGUGAAUUGCCUCCUUAGGUGAAGUUCCAUGCUUUACUAUAGUUGACAGAACUCAGCAAAAGCUUCCAUACAACAGAUUUUGAAAAUGAUGAUGCCAAUAGAUACUCAUUCAAUCCAUUGAAAAUCCAAAGGUUCAUUGUUAAUAGAAGUUUACAGAGUUUUGGUCAUCAAAUAGCUCAGACCUAAUCCCAAACAAAAAACGAGUGAAAAUUAGAUCACGAGCAGCUGAUUGUAAAUUCUAACUUAACUCUUCAUCUCCUUUGUAAACAAGAAACAAAAUGGAGACACGCAAAAUGAAUAUGGAGAAAAUUUGAACUCAAAUGAAAUGAGGGCACGAAAGCAAACAAAUGGCAUGCACAAAAAAACCAAGCCUCAAUCAAAAACUAAUUAACCAUUAAGAAAAAAAUUGGUCAGAUAAUGAACUACAAAUUCAGGAGUCAAGCAAGAAGCUUUCAUUAUUUCAGAAGCUCCUGUACAAAUUAAUAAGUUAUGCUCUUUGGAAGCAAACCUAAAUUCCAAGAGAAACAGAACCCAAAAAAUUUGCAAUUAUACGCAAAGGGAGUGAAGCACAGGAUUCUAUCACACAUAGGAAUUGUAUAACAAGAGAUCGAUAUAUCGAAUUAGAAAACUCAAUUCGAAUUUGUGUCAAAAAUCAAAAUUAGAAGAUUUCACAUUUCGAGAGGAACAAGCAACAGAUGAAGUUCAAAAUUUCAGCCAUAACAUGCUAAAAAUGCUACACUUAACGGUUCAUUUUCAUGGAUUUUCUCGGGAAACAAACAGAAAAUUACGGUUUAGAGAUUUGACUGACCUUUUGGCUUUUGAAAUUGAGAAGAUCGCACGCCAAAUUGGAAGAGGGAAAGUGAAAGUGCGAGUUUUAAUAUGGGUAUUAGAUAAGGAAAUUUUAUUAGGUUGCGAGGGUAAAAAAGGAAAGAGAUAUCAUUGUUUUAUUAUCGAUAAUUAUUAAAUUUUUUUCCAAAAAAAAAGAACAAGCAAGGAUAUUUUAUUGUCAUUUGCAACCUUUAAUUUUUUAAAUGCUAUUAGAAACACAAGACAAUAAAGAAAUACUUAUUUUUUUCUAAAACUAAAAUCAAUUGUUUAAAAAAAAUUGUUUCAAAAUUACUUGAGUCAUAUCCAAUGGACCAACAAAGUAAUCGUUUUUAUUUUUAUUGAUUUUUGCAGGAAAUUAAUAACUUAAAAAUACUGAAAGCUAUUGUAAAAAUUUUUAUUAUCAACCUCAUAGUUUUUUUUUUUUUUUUUGGGAAGAGAAUUCAAACUUUUUUUUUUAUGAAUAUCGCUGUUUCGUUUGAGUUGGAUGUGAAUUCAAAUACAAAUAUUCUUUGUUUUUCAAUUCUGAACUCAAUUUCUUUUUUUCAAGAAUGUUAUGCAGAAAUGAUUUUUACUGAACGGCAACAAAUGAAAAGGCUGGGCCAAGUGGAAUGGUGGGUUUCGAGGGUGGAUGCUGUUAAAAUUGAAGCUGAUGAACUUAUCAGAGACGGCUCUCAAGAAAUUGACAAAUUGUGUGUUGGAGGCUACUGUUCUAAGAACUGCACGUCAAGCUACAAGUUCGGGAAACAAGUGGCUAAAAAGCUACGAGAUGUGGAGACUUUAAUCGCUGAAGGAGUUUUUGAGGCGGUGGCUACCGAGGUGGUGCCUGAGAGAGCAGAGCCUGUAGCAGAUGAAAGACCUACCGAGCGAACAGUAGUAGGCUUGCAAUCACAACUUGAACAAGUCUGGAGAUGUCUUGCAGAAGAAUCAGAGGGAAUCAUUGGCCUAUAUGGUAUGGGCGGUGUUGGUAAAACUACAUUACUGACCCAUAUCAACAAUAAAUUUCUCGAGAGUCCAACCAACUUUGAUUGUGUGAUUUGGGUAGUAGUUUCAAAAGACCUGCGACUUGAAAAAAUUCAAGAAGAUAUUGGGAAAAAGAUAGGUUUGGUUGGUGAUUCAUGGAAGAGUAAAAGUGUAGAGGAGAAAGCUGUCGACAUCUUCCGGAGUUUAAGAGAGAAGAGAUUUGUAUUGUUGUUAGAUGAUAUAUGGGAGCGGGUUGAUUUAACAAAGGUGGGCGUUCCACUUCCCGGACCCCAAAAUACUACCUCAAAAGUCGUAUUCACAACCCGUUUCAUCGAUGUUUGUGGUAGCAUGGAAGCUGACAGGAAGUUCCAAGUGGCGUGCUUAUCAGAAAAGGAUGCUUGGGAACUGUUUCGAGAAAAAGUUGGGGAAGAAACUCUUCAGAGUCAUCAUGAUAUCGUUGAGCUAGCCCAAAUUGUGGCCAAAGAGUGUGGUGGUUUGCCACUCGCACUUAUUACUAUUGGUCGAGCUAUGGCCUGCAAAAGGACAGCCGAGGAGUGGAGACACGCAGUUGAAGUGCUAAGAAGAUCAGCUUUUGAGUUUGCAGGUUUGGGAAAAGAGGUAUAUCCUCUAUUAAAGUUUAGCUAUGAUAGUUUGCAGAAUGAGACGAUUAGAUCUUGUUUCUUAUAUUGUUGUUUAUAUCCCGAAGAUUAUGGAAUUCUUAAAUGGGACUUGAUUGAUUGUUGGAUUGGUGAGGGAUUCUUAGAGGAAUCUGACAGGUUUAGUGCAGAAAACCAAGGAUACUACAUUGUGGGCACUCUUGUUCAUGCAUGUUUAUUAGAAGAGUUAGAAGAUGAUAAAGUAAAAAUGCAUGACGUUAUUCGUGAUAUGGCUCUAUGGAUAACCAAUGAAAUUGAGAAGGAGAAGAGAAACUUUUUGGUUCGUGCAGGUGCUGGAUUAAAAGAGGCACCGGAUAUUAAAGGAUGGGAAAAUGUGAGAAGAUUGUCAUUGAUGCAAAACCAAAUUAAAACUCUGUCAGAGGUUCCUUCAUGCCCUCAUCUCCAUACUCUAUUUCUUGCCUCUAAUGAUAAUUUGAGGAUGAUCACAGAUGGCUUCUUUCAAUUUAUGCCUUCUCUCAAAGUUUUGAAGAUGUCAAACUGUGUGGAUUGGCCAGUUUCGAAAUUACCUUUGGCGAUGUCAAAGUUGGGUUCACUACAACUUCUUGAUAUUUCACAUACCGGCAUAGAAGAGUUACCAGAAGAGUUGAAGUUGUUGGUAAAUCUGAAAUGUUUGAAUUUGAGGUGGACAUUUGAGUUAAAUAAAAUUCCAUGGCAACUAAUAUCAAAAUUUUCAAGGUUACGUGUGUUGAGAAUGUUCGCUACUGGCUUUGCCCGUUUUGAUGAAGCAUCAGAAGACAGCGUUUUAUUUGGUGGGGGUGAAGUUUUAGUACAGGAAUUGGUCGGUCUGAAAUAUUUAGAGGUAUUGGAGUUGACCUUGGGAUGUCAUCAUGCUCUCCAAAUUUUUUUGAGAUCAAAUAAGUUAAAAAGUUGUAUUCGAUCUCUUCUCCUCCACUUGGCCGGAGAUACAACGUCGAUUAUCGAUGCUACGGCUUUCGCAGAUCUAAACCACCUCAAUGAAUUAUGGAUUGAUAGGGCUAAGGAGUUGGAAGAAUUGAAGAUUGAUUAUACAGAGAUAGUUCGAAAAAGGCGGGAACCUUUUGUUUUCCGCAGCCUUCACCGUGUUACUAUACAUAGCUGCCAGAAGUUGAAAGAUACGACAUUCCUCGUUUUUGCUCCAAACCUCAAGUCUCUCGAUCUAGACCGUUGCGAUGCUAUGGAAGAAAUAAUCAGCGUCGGAAAAUUUGCUGAGACUCCUGAGAUGAUGGGACAGAUAAGCCCUUUUGAAAAUCUCCAAAUGCUUGAUUUAGAAGAUUUGCCACAUUUGAAGAGCAUCUUCUGGAAGCCAUUGACUUUCACUCAUCUGAAAGAAAUAUCUGUGGGUUAUUGCCGUAAUCUUAAAAAGCUUCCACUCGAUUCCAACAGUGCAAAGGAGCGUAAAUUUGUUAUUCGUGGAGAAGAAGACUGGUGGAACCGACUUCAAUGGGAGAAUGAAGCCACUCAAAUUGCUUUUCGUUCCUGUUUCCAAUCUCUUUUUGAUUAACUCUUAUACAUUUUCUCGUCGUUUGCUUCGUGCAAAAAAGACUACGUCUUUUGUUCUCUGUUUUUAUUUCAGUUUCGUUUGUUGUCUCCUGCAAAUCACAAUUAAAUGUUGAAUUAUAUGGAAGUAACGCUUUAUAAAUUUUCCGGCACUGCCAUUUCUUUUUCCUCUUUUUUUUUUUGGGUCGAAUUGAUGCUCUGGCUUUUUUACUUUUUGUCAUCGAAUUUUGCUCUGUUUUUCAAAUUGAUGCUUGAAUAUGUGAAUUCAAUUAAUGCUCACAUAAUUUUGUUUAGUUGCCGUAAAAAGAAUAUAAUUAGACUGCAAUUCGCACUCCCAGAAUGAAUAGAAUCACAACAGAGAAAAUAUUAAGUAUGCUAGCCCUCUUUACAGAAAAUCAAAUGAAAAUAAAAUUUUUUGGAUAUUUGAUUUUCUAUGGUCUACUAUAUACAGUUUAUAAAUUCUUCUGUUCUAAGGAUAACCAAAUCCUUUGUUCAAGGAUUUUUAUUUGGGGUAUUGAUAAUAGUCCACCAAAAUAGUGAAUGCUUGGAUGCUGCUUAAGGAUCUGUAAUCAAUAAGCUGGAAGCAAACGAGAAGGCGGUCGCUACUCUGUACAAAGCCAUGCAGCAAUUGCUAUUCAUCUUAAAUUCUUAAUAAUUACGAAGCUUUGGUAAAAUUUCCGAACAAAGUUGACAUGUUAUUUUGAGAUUUGGUUCCUGAUUUUGUAUGAAUAUCGCUGUUUCGUUUGAGUUGGAUGUGAAUUCAAAUCCAAAUAUUCUUUGUUUUUCAAUUCUGAAAUCAAUUUCUUUUUCUCAAGAAUGUUAUUCAGAAAUGAUUUUUACUAAAUCAUUUUUGAUGAAUUGUUUAAAUUAAACAAUUGGAAUAAGAAUUGUAACGAUUUAUCAUAAGCGUGCUAAUAUGAUAACUUAUUUUACGAACGAUUAAUUAAUUAAUCAAUUAAUGUUAAAUUAUAUAUUAAUCAAUUAGCUAUGUGUUGCAUUUAUCAUGUUUUGUAGGUGAUUCUACAUAAUUUCUAAAAGAAUAUAGUAAAAACACGUUAAAAAUUAUUUAAUGAAGAAAAUUUUAUUAAAUAGGUGACACAAUAAUAAAUGGAUUUCUGUAAGAAUUGAGAUUCUUGAGAUAAUUAUUACAUAAGGAGAAGUUUAGUUGGUUCAAUUUUGACAUGAUAAGAAGACAACACAGCACAGAAAACCCAAAUUGCCACUUCCACUAAUAAAAGAUACCUGUUUGAAAAGUAAUUAUAAACUAUCUUCUUUGUGUUAUUUCUCAAAACUUUUGUGGCACAAAUGUUAUUUCCAUUGACAACAGUACGAAAUACCACCCCUUUCACUUGAGCAGGAGCAAAGCAAAGGUAUGAUGAGCUAUCUCUGUAUAAUUGAAACGCCAUUACUAAACGAUUCUUGAUGAUGGGAGCCACCGUGCCAGCUUUGUCGCUGAUUUGCAUGAUUUAUUAGUUGUCCAGAUGGCGGAUUUUGUACUGUUACCUUCGUUUCAUUCUUCAGAGCCAUGUACAGUUCUAGGAUACCAGAGAAACCAAGGUGGCAUUGAAGUUGCCCCAGUGGUUAGUUUUCCGAUCAUUUUUUUUAUUCAAUUAUUUAUGUUUGUAGAAAAAUGUAGGAAAUAUGUAGAAAUGUUGACAGCUAUGAUUUUGAAACUUUUGCCUAAAAUUGUUAUCAUUACUUCUUGUUUCUUAUUUAAAGAGAAAUUCUAGAAACAUGAAAUGAUUAUUCUACGCUUGUUUUAAUAUUAUGCUAUGAAGAUUAUGAAGGUUUGAUUAUAUGUCACUAUCAAUUGCCUUAAUCGUUUGUCGUAAAUCAAUUAAGCAUUUUGAUGCAAAUGAUUCCCUAUUAAAAAAUUCAAGUCAGAGCUGAAUUGCAAAUUAGUUAGUCGUGCUUGCCAUUCAAAUUAAGUAUUGUAUUUUCUCCCUGAUUUGGUUGAUUCAACUAUGUGCAUUUGCUUAUGAACGUUGUAGUACAGAAAUUGAAACAUCUUGUCUUUUGCUAAGCCCAGAAGCAAAUUCUUUGUAUUCUACUCAUCAGUUUUCUUCAUUCUCUUCGUUGAAAUUUUAUCCAAACAGCGGUUUCGAAAUUGUUUUCACCACAAUACCUUAGUCUUUCAGAUGCUCCCGUCACUGAGUUGCCAGAAGAGCUAAAAGCCUUGGUAAAUCUUAAGUGUUUGAACCGGAGUACACAAAUUAUCUCUCUACAAUUCCAAAACAACUGAUUUGUUACUUUUCGAUGCUACAUGUUCUGCGAAUAUUCAGUUGUGAUUAUCUUGUUCAAAUACCAGAAAAUAGCGUUCUAUUUAGUGGUAAUGAAUUCUUGGUUUGGGAGUUGCUUAGUUUAAAACGUUUAAAUGUAUUAAGCAUCAUCUUGAAAAGUUUUUCUGCCGUCCAAAAACUUAUGAGCUCCCAAAAGUUUCAAAGCUGUACACAAUGCUUGGAGCAUAUAGGCUGUGAUGAUCCAAAGUCAUUUGCCUUGGCAGAGUUGAAACAUCUUGAAAAACUAGGUUUUUCGAGUUGUGGAAAUUUGGAAGAGUUAAAGUUCUGCUGUGUCGAAGUUGCAAAGGCUCGAGAAUGUUUUCGUUUGAACGGCCCUUGCUGAGUUAAGAUGAAGGCUUGUCAUAAAUUGUGGGAAGCGACAGGUUAUUCAAAUAGAAAAAUGUAUGGAGAUGGAUGUUAAUCUUAAGGUUAUUCAAGCAGACAAAUUCGAAUAAAACUUAUGGUAAGUGCUUUUCCAUUUAUUGCAUAUUUAUAUCUAAUUUUUAUUUUCCUUUAUUGUUAAAUUUUGCUCUAUAUUUGUUGUUGUAUGGUGGCAUUCUUGUACAAUUAUUAGCUUUUCAUUUCUCUUCUCACAUUAACUGCCCUUCUGAUCAUGUAGGAUUUGCUGAUGCAAAGAGUCAUAAUUUGGGAUACAAAUGUAAGAAUUAGACAGAUGACGUGUUGUUUUGAAGCUCUCGAAGAAGAAGGACUAAUUAUGUCAUUGAAAGCCUCCAAUUUUGUGAUUGGUUUCUUUUUAUUUUAUUUGUUGUUUUCUCUAUUUUCAGAUCGCUUAAUUGUUAGUUGUUGUAAUGUAAUGUUUUAGUAUAGAAAAUUAUAUUCGGCCAAGACAGCGAUAGGAAGGCACAUUGUGCAUGCACACUAGUGGAUUUGGCAUGCCAACUCCAAUUAGGAUGGAUAACACUUUAUAAGCAUUAGGCUUCUCUCGUACUUGAGUAAUAUAGAAUAUGUUUAUAAGUUGUGAAUCACCCUUUAUAAGUGUUAGGCUUCUGCUAUACUCAGUGAUGUGAAAUAUAUUUAUAAGCACUAAACUUCUCCCAUACACUUUAUGUUAAAAAUAAUAAUAAUAAUAAUAAUAAUAAUAAAAUAAACCCAUUUUAACAGACUCUUUUUUCUUUUUCUAUAUGAACAAAUGCAUUCUUCAAAGCAAUUGUGGGUAGAAGAAGUGAGUAGAGAAGAACUGGGCCCCUUUCAUUCCCCUAAAACCUCACCAAAACCUCUCUUGUAAGCUUUUCGGAUUUUCUUUCUAUAUUUCUUAGGAACUCAUUUUUUAUUGAAUCACUUCUUUUGCAUGCUGCAUUUUUUGUUUGUCGUAUUUGGGUAUUAUCUUAUCUGGAAUACUGUUAUGAUUGAUGGAACAAGUAAUCGAUUUUUGGUCUAAUGGAAGUUGAUUUAUUUAUUUAUUGUUAUUUUUAUUUGAAAUUAUGUACAAUUGCAUUUCAUUCAUUUCUCUCUCUCUUUUUCUUUUUUUCCCCCCAUAUAUUUGUUAUGUAUAAUUGCGUUUCAUUUAAUAUUGAUCAUACUGUAGGUAACCAUGUGAUUGUAGAUUGGGAUUUCAAGUUUGUUGAAUAUUCAUGUAAGUGAAGUAACCGUCACAAUACUAGUGAAAUUGGGAGCUUUAUUCAUGAGUUUGUGGUUUUGAAAAGAACCACAGUUCAACUGAUGAAGGCUCCUUUUUGGGAUUCUUCUUUUUCUAGGCUGCAAUUAGGAUAUGUACAUGAUAGACAAUCUUUUGUUGGCUUGGCAUAUCUUCGCUGAUUUUUUCUUUUAUUCCCCAAUUUUAUAAUUACACACCAUGAAUGUUGGGUGAUUGUAUAGAAAAUUUGUGUUAUAACAAAAACAUUGUGAAGGAGUUUCCGUGCUAAUAGUUAGUGGCUUCUGUUUUAUUGGCAUUGAUUGGGUAGAUUACGUGUUACAGUGAUUCAAUUUGUGUUCCAAACUUUGCUUUAAUUUUCUGUUUUCCCCAACUAUUUAUGUCAAAUUUAAAUCCAGAAGCAUGUACUGAUUUUUUCUUUUUGUAUUAAUCUGUGAAGUUUAUUUGGAAUGGAAGUAACUGGGUCGGGUCUAAUGGAUUAAAUUAUGACAUUGAGGGGAAGGCACUAAAAGGGUUUGCUUGACACAUUUGGUUCUGUGUUUACUCUGCAAGAAAUAGCUUUUGCUUAUUGCAAUGCAGGGGGAAAUCCCGAUUUGGCUGGUGAAUUUCUCUGCAACAAACAGGCAAACACCUCAACCUCUUCUGUCCAUACUUCUGCUGGGGAGGCAAGGGGUAAAGAGUCUUCAAAAUCAUCAAAUAGUAACAUCUCUGAGAAUUCAUUUUAUGGAAAUGGAAAAUCUAGAGCUUCUAAUACAAAAUGGCAUCUGGUAUCAGGACGUACCGUUUCAAGUUUUCUUGGUAAAGAUUAUGUUAAACCUGCACAGCCAGCUAAUGGCACUUUUCUGGCAUCAAAGCCAUUGAAGUUGGAUCCAAAGGAGUUUCCCAUGUCUGCACUUUGCAGAGAAGAAUCUAAACCGAAACAAUCAAAGGAUGACCAUUUGCAGAAGGACAUGGAAGAUUUUCUGUUUAAAUUUCCAGGAGAAGGGUUCCAGCUGAACAGGGAUGUGAUUCAGGAGGUUCUCGGUAAUGUCUUAAAUAUAUUGAUGCCAAUUUAAUACAUAUUGUCCUUUUCAAUGUUCUUUCUUUCUUUCUUUCUCUUCUUUUAUUCUUCUUCUUCUUCUUUUUUCUUUUCGUGUGCAUGUGAUUGCUAAUUUUGUAUUAUUUUUAACUUGCAGAUAGUUGUGGAUAUGAUAUGCAAAAGGUAAGGACUAUAUCCUCCUGAUAGAGGCCUCUGCUUUUUCCCUUCUAUGUACGUAAUUUAGUAAAUCGCAUAUUCUAUAUAUCAUACCAAAAUCCUGUCUUAAAUGCUGCUGGCAUAUGUUAAGGUUCAACUUGCAUUUUGAUUAACGUCCAUUUGCUACGGCUUCCAAAAUUGAGAAUGAGAUACUUUGGUUAAUUUCAGUAGUUGAACCCAAUAGGGUACUUUAUUUAGAUCUUCAUGGUUCAAAGGCCCGAAAAAACUUGCAGGUAUUUGCAAAAUGACAUUCUGUGCUUUUAUUUAUACUUAUUAUUUAAGUGAUAAAAAUUCCCCAAACCUGCGGUCAAGAAAAUUUCAGACAGUUAAAGACUCCAUUUUGUUUCAGCCAAAAAUGUUUAUUUCAAUUAAAGAUUUGAACCAUUUUCAUUUAACCUGAUUGUGAUGCUUUACAUUGUGCACGUUCCUUUCGAUCAAUAAACGUUGAGGUCAUGAUUUUAUAUUCCUAUAUUGUAACCUAAAAUAAUAGUUGGUUUGCCUGUUUCUGUAGCUUGAUAACAUGAAUUUUCCUUCUGAAGUUACUUUGAUCAAUAAAGUUAUUCUUCGGAGAAGAUAUGCCCAUUCUAUAAUCAUUUUCUUAGCUAAUAUGUUUUUUUCACUCUUCUGAGCAUGUCUAAACUAAUUGAUCGCUCGGCAGAGACUGUGGGUAAGAAAACAAAAUUUCAUGGUAAAUCCUCUUAAAAGGUAUGCAUAAUUGAAAUGACCCGCCCCGAAUUCCCCUCAGGCGAGUCUAUCUAGUCUCAUCAAAACGGACUUGAUAAUAAUUCUAUUAGUAAAGACUCUGCCAAAAAUUCGGCAGAAUUUUUUUUUUUUUAUAUAUAACACUCCCAAUCUACAAAUAUGAAUAUAACACUCCCAAUACAAUUCAGUAUACAACAAACUCCAGUGAUCAACAUCUUCAACCAAAAUGCUGAGCUUUAUAUCUCCAGAGUCUCAAAAGAUAAUAUUAUAACUAAUAUUAAUAUCUUAGUUUAUUCUUAAUCCCAAAAGAAUAAUAUAACAAAAUUAUACAAUCCCAACAGGACGAGAUAACCAAGAUGUCCUAACAAAAAUAUUUAUAUCUUCUAACACCAUCACGUGGCCGAGAUUCAAAAUAUAUUUACAGUCGCUAGGUCGGUCUGGUGUACCUGCAACCUCCUGGUGAGGGGGGAAAAAUAUAAUAAAAACGGGGUGAGUUUAAAACUCAGUGAGAUCAGUGAGUGAAUAGUAGUUUUGAAAAUUAAUUCUUACUUUAAAAAAAAUAAUCGUAUCAUUUCCAAACACAAUUUCAUUAAACCAUAAGCGAGAAACCAAUAAUAAAUCAUUAAACAUUUAAAUCAUAUUACUAACCAUAGAAAUCAUAUCACAAUAUCAUAUAGAAUACACAAAUCUAAAAAUCAUCACCAAACAAGUACCCAGAGAAAUAAUCUCGUCAUAUCCGAACCUCAACAGACGGGCAAUGACGUACUAUCUAGGUAACGUCACACCCCGGAGCUACACGGAUAGACAGGGAAAUACCAUCUCAUAUCUCAUCAUAUAUGUGCAUGCAUAAUCUAGUCCCCAAGGGACAAAAGCGCCCAAGCACACGGCCCAAAGCCUCUGUGUAUACUCAGAGGGACCCCAAAGGCCUAUAUCUCAUAUGUAUCAUAUGUAUCAUUUGUAUCUCAAUUAUCUCAUAUCCGUAUAUCUGUAAUCAUCAUACCGCAUGCAUAUGCCCCCAAAAGGAAAAAGCGUCCAAACACACGGCCCAAAGCCUUUAUAUAUAUUCAGACGGGUCCUAAAAGCCUCUCAUCUCAUCUUAUCUGUAUCACUGUAUCUGAAGGGAAUGGUACUGUCUAAUGAUUUCAAAAACAAUCAUUAUACUCAUAUUCACAUACCUCUUAAUCAUAUUUUAAAUCAUACCACAUUUGAAUCCACUUUUCUUAUCUUUAAAAUACUAUCAUGCUUUAUUCAAAGUCGAUACGCAAAAUCAAUAACCAAACAUUUUAAUAAAAUACCAAUGCGUAAAUAAAAUCCAUUUCGAGAAAUCAUUAAAUCAGAACAUUUAAAAUACUUAUUUCGCAAACAUGCUUUACUAUCAUCGCUAACUAUGAAAAUAAGUUUUGUAUAUUCCACUCACAGUGACGGUGUUCACGGUCGGUUCUCGCUCGCGGAUCCUCCUAAAUCAACGAAACGACAUAAUUAUUUUCCGUAAAUCGGAAUUAUGACUAAAUUUUAUGCAAUAAAUUUAAAACGAACAUAUAUUCAUAAUUGACAACUCCUGUGUCCAUAAAAUUACUAAAAUGCCCUUGAGUCUGUAAAUCAUUAACAUGCUUCGAAAUCGUAAAUUACUGAAUUACUCUCGGAAUCGUAAUUACACUCAAUCCUCAAUUCUAGGAAUUACUAACAUAUCCACGGGCUCAGAAAUUACAAAUUUGCCCUCAUAGUGUGAAAUUACCAAAAACUGGAAUUUGGUCAACACUGGCUAGGAAGCUCAAAUCGUAAAGUUCCAAUCACGCUGAGUUCAAUGGUACCGGCGAUGAUCUCCAACGCGCGGCAACGACGCCGGAAUCUAGCUCGGCAGCCGUGAAUUCCACCAAUCGACCGGCGGCAAAACAGUGACUCUCGGUGCCUAUGGAUGGUCGGAAAUGGAAGAGGGAGUCGUGGGGAACAAAAUUCAACCGGUGGUGUAGCCAAAACCGGCGAAAAUCCCGGCGGAGCAAAGUGAAACAGUCGCGGGUUUCAAGCUUCGAUCGCCGGUGUUCCGAUUGGUUUUUGGCGAGGAGGAUGGCAAGGGAACGACGGCCGGCUUCUAAGCUUCAGAUUGGUACCAAGCUCGGCCGAAACGGUGGCCGGAAAUGGGAGAUAUGGCCGGGUCAAGGUCGCGGGUUCCGGGUCGGGUUUUCGGGUCUGUAGUUGGGUCGGUUUGGCAGCUUCUCUCUCACUCUCUGUUACACGUGCAUAUGUUUCCUCUGUUUCUAGCUUAUUCUUUUGCUUUUACUAACUUCUUAACCGCCUCAUACUUAUUCAUUUUUAAUUCACAUAUGUUACAAUAAUUCCCGAGUAUUAAAUAACCAGUGGUCAUAAUUUUUGUACACGACUCUUUUUUUUUUUGGAGAUCGUUAAAAGUGAUUGACGAUCCAUUUUGUAAUAUCAUAGAGGGAUCAUCAAUUCCUUUUCUUUUCUGUGGCUAGGCAACACUUUUUGGCCAAAGUAAGGAAAUCUAUUUUAGGUAAUGUAAAAACCAGUUGUAGGAUGUAAUAGUUUAUUAUGCACUGACAAUAACUUUUUGUAUAAUUGUCAGUUUAAUGAAUACAAGAGGAACUCUGUUGGCAAAUUCAUCCAAGAUAGAUGCUAAAAUUAUUUAUGCAUGCCAGUUGCCUUAACUAAGUUUUCUCAGCACUGGUUUUGAACAGGAAAAUGAAUAUGCAAUUUGUAGAUUGUGCCAUAGUGGAGAAUUUGUAUAUUCUUAUUUAAGUAACAAGGAGAUUAUUUACCUCAUCUUUAAACAAUGAAUCUUUGAGAGAUGAGGAGUGGGUGAUUGGCUGUGUCUUCAUGUAAUUGUUCAUUUAUUUGUAUUUUGAACUGUUAUGAAAAUCUUUAUAUGCCAAAUUAGUAAUACAAGUAUUCAGAUGAUUUUUCCUAUUGAUCAUGCAUUUGUAUCUGCCCACAACCAUUGUAUAUCACUUUAUUCUGAUGCGCAAGCAUCUGUAAUUUAGAAGAAAAGAAAUAAUAAUCAUAUUUUAUUGCUUGGUUCAUGAUUAUUAACGAUUAUGGCUUUAAAAAUCUACAAAUUUCUUGUGUUCAUGUAUGAAUGUGCCAAGUUUGCUGUAUCUUAGAUUACCUUCUUCCAAGAUAACAAGUUCAUAUAUAUUUUUUUUUAAAAUCCUUUUCCAUUACAGUUGAAUUUCAAGUGUUAGUUUUGUUAUUAGUACCUGGUUUCCUGUUAUUAGGAUCUAAUAAACAGUGUACGGAUAUGUGCUCUACUUUUGGAGGGCCUCCACGUGAAAGAAAAUUGCAACAAUUGAAUUCUUCCGGAGGGUAUGGUAAUUAAUUUAUUUUCUCAACUUGUUGUAAGACUAAUAUAUUUCCUUCAGUAGGCACGGCAUGGUGGGAAGGGUUUUUAUUGAAAGAAUUCUGAUAUUUCUUAGACUUUGUUUUGGAAGGGGGUGGAGGGAUUUCUCAUCCAUAUAUGGUUACUUGAUUAGCUUUUGACUGUAUUGUCUCCGUCGUGCAAAGGAAAAUCUAAAUACUAACGAUGGGGAAUUGCUUAGGCACCCAAAAGGCAGAAAUGAAUUACAGAAGGAAGUUUUUGCUGCUUUAUUUAGUGCUGCUGAGAAAUCUGAUGAAUUUCCUGAAAUUACGGUGAAGACCGAGUGGAGGUCCAAAGCAUUAGGAAAGGUGGUGAGUGAACUGCCGGAGGAAUUAGUACCAGAAUACAAGGCUAAUGUGGUGCACUUGCAGCAAGAUAACCAGACCGGUAUGUGCUCUUAUAUUAACUAUAUUGACUGGAUUUGUUAGUGUGUGCAUUUUUUUGUGUAUACUCACUUUUGUAUUUAUGCAUAUUAACAUGUGUAGGAUUCUUGAUUUCUGCCACUUACUGGAGAACUAGUGGAAAGCUUUAUACUGAUAUAUCUGCAAUAACUAAUGGAAACUAUGAUAUGAAUAUUUUCUCUCACCUGGGGAGCUGUGUAACAGAUAUACUUUGUGGCUCUGGAAUGCUGAAGAUUCUGCAAUAACUAAUGGAAAAUAUGAUAUGAAUAUUUUGUCUCACCUGGAGAACUUUGUUACAGAUACCCUUUGUGGCUCUGGAGUGUCUAAAGAAUGCUUCCGUUAGAUCAAAUAUCUUUUAGUUAGAAAAGAUAAAAUUCUCUGAGUCUGAAAGACUGAAACAUUUUGCAUAUUUUGUGAAAGGGAAAUAUCUGUUGAUACUAGCUCAUGCAUUGAGGUAAUAUCGAUGUUAAAGAAAAACAGCAAUGAUUUAUGAUAUAGAAUUGGGUUCACUUGCUUUAAAUGCUGGUCUGAUCAACCAUAUCAACCUGUAAUGAUUCUGCAGAAAUAUAUAUACAAGGAGAAAGUAGCUAAAUUUUUCUUUCAUUUAUGGGUUCGGUCUUUUUUCCCCUUAUUUUUCAGCUUUCCUUCUCCUGAAGUAUGUUAACAAUUGCAGAUAAUGAUGAAGAGGACAGCUUCCAGGCUCUCCUUGGAGCCAUGAUGGAAUAUAGGGGCACAAUGAAGGAAUAUUGUAAAGCUGUAGGUACUUUUUCUCCUGUCAUUUAUGUUUUCUCACACAUUUUGUAUAUGCCCUGAACAUGCACCUUUGUAUGUAUCAAUUGACUUUUAAAUUUUAAAAGCCAUAAAGUAAGAAUACGGUUCCUUGUCAGGCUACUGAUGACAUUCGCUCAGGGGGAUCAUGUUCGAGCAGGAAAAUUUCUAGAACAGGUAAGGUUUCCAUCUACAGCCAUCCAUUGACAGCAGAUAAAUUUUCAUUCAGCAGACUCUGUUAGCAUUCAAGAUGCUGGCAGAUUCACUUGAUUCUUAUUAGCUUGUUUAGUGGCAAAGCCUAUAACCUGUAUUUCAAAGCCAAGUUGUGCUAUUGAUUAUGUUAACUUUUUUGUUAACAUAAAAUGAUAUGGAGGAAAUAAUCAGUGUUGGAAAAUUAGGUGAAAAGAUGAUGUCAAAUCUUGAACCUCUUGCGAAACUCUAAGUUCUUUACUUGAAGAGGCUACCAAAUUUGAACAGCGUCUACUCGAAGGCCUUGCCAUUCCCUGAUGCAUGCAGAAUUUUUGUAUUUAAAUGCCCAGAGCUUAAGAAGCUGGCACUGGAUCUUGAAGGGGCAGACCAAGGUAAAAUUCUUAUCAAGGGAAAGGAAGAUUGGUGGAAACAACUUAAUGGGAGGAUCAAGUAACUCAGAAUACAUUGCUUCCAUUUUUUAAAUCGACUGACAAGUGAUUGAACGGGGCAUCAUCAAUAUCAUCAACAGGGAUGGAGAGAUGCCGGAGCAGAUCAGCAGGGUUUGAAUAUGACCUUCGGCGGUUGCUUUUUUUUUUUGUGAUUUUUUUUCAUUUUUUCCUUCCUGUCAUUUUAUCAUUUCUUUGGCUCUGUUUCUAUUGCGGGUGUUACUGCAUGCUUACUGUUGCUUGACAAAGUUUGCUAGCUUUUUGUUUGCAGCGCUGCUAUACGCCCCGAGUCAAGCCCCGAAAAUUUAUUAAACGACGCCGUUUCGACAGUAACAAUUCUUUUCUUUUCCCUUUGCCUGUUUCUUUCAUCUGCUGUUUCUCUAUCACUUUUCAUUUUUGAUUUCCGUGCUUCCCAGCUGCCCCUAAAUUGUUAUUCUAGCAAUAUACUUUCUCAUCUUUGAAUUUUCAUCCUUGAGUACUCCCACAGCCGUAAUUUCAUCAUUAUAGACUUCACUUGGAAUGCUAGAUUUUUUCGAUUCUUGAGCUACUUCAAUUACAUCUUAGUAUAGGAUCCUCAUCUUCCUUUAUUUCUUCAUCUUAUGAGGUAACAAAUGGAUUUCACAACUCAUCUACUUUUAAGCAAUUACAUAUUAUACCCUGAAUGAUUCAACUGUUCCGACAGUUAAAGAUUUUAUGCUCAACCUGCAGUGCUACGAACAUUGUCCAUGAAAGAUGAGUUUCAGCAUAUAAAAUGAAAUAUAGAUGUUUAAUCUAAAAUAACCCUUCACUGCCAGAAACCUAGGUCACAAAAUUCACAGAUAAUGAUAAAGAACUAAAAAAUUUGAAAAACUCUACAGAUCACACAUCAAGCAAGAUAUCAUGUUUUUUUCCCUCAUUCGGUGGUGAUUGAUUCGCUUUUUGAUGAUGGAUAUGGUAUAAAAGUUUUGACCCAAUUUCAAGCAAACACAAAUAGAAACACAAACACAAUCAGGACUAGAGUUGUGGGCGAUUAUCUCAGGUGUACAAGUGAAACGGUGGUGGCUGUCGAUGGUGGUAGUGGGGUGGUUGGGUAUGCGUGAUGGCUAGAUUUUAGGACAAUAAUGGUUGGAGUUGACCUCAAUCAACGAAGGAAAGUGACAACAAUUUUGACAUCAAAUGGUGCAUUUUUUAGCUUAGUAAAAUGGAACCGUUUUGAAUUUGGGGUUUAAUCCGGGGUUUGACUCGGUGCAAGUAUCAUUUUCCUUUUGUUUAUUAAAUUUUUUAUGGUCACAAAGUAUUACUCGUUCUAUUUGAGAGUGAUGUGAAUCAAUUUUUCAAUUUUAUAUUUUGUGGUCAAUGUGAAUUCAAUUUCAUUUGUCUCCUGCAAUUAUGAAAAAAUUGCAGUCAUAAUAUGGAAAAGUACACCGGCAAAGACUUUGUAAAACCUUCGGAGUGAUACGGGGAAUUCACUUACAACUAAGGACAAUUGGUGGCAAGUUAUUCCAUUCAUUUUAUGUCCAUGCAUCUAUUUAGUUAUUGAAGAUUAGUGGUCCAUUUGUAAAUUUCAGAUUGUCUCUCUCUCUCUCUCCCACUUGAAAUAACAAUAUUUAAUAUAUCUCUUAAAUUAUUAUAAAUUUUAAUUUACUCUCGAUUUAAAAUGGAGCAUGUCGAUAAAUUUUUUUUCUUCUUAAUAAAAUUGACGUAAUUUGUGUUUACAGUAGUUUGAAGUUUGAAAUAUUUUAAAGAUUAUUAUUCUAUAAGGGAGUAAUAUGAAAUGAAAUUUACUUUUCAUGUGUGAACUGAAAAAGGACGAAGCAAGUGUCCCUGCUUUUAUUUUAUUUCAAGGAGGAGUCAUCUCGCAUACUUUGGCUCUUAACAUUACAUUUUUUCUGGUUACAUUUUUUAUUUUUUUUUACACAUGCGUGUGGGUUGCUUUUCUGUAAGCUCCUUAAUAUAUAUUUAAGACAAAUCAUGGAAGAGAUGGGAUUAUAUCAAGAUGAUCAAAGCAUGUAAAAAAAGAAAAAAGAAAAAAAAAAUUAAGAAGUAAGACACUGAAAAUGGAGAAGAGAUGGAAGCAAAAGAUAUUCCAAAACAAAGCAAUCUAUCCCCCUUCGAGGGCAGACUUAUCAGGUUUAAAAAAGUACAUGCUUUGGAUUGGUAGUUGCAAUCAAGGGAAAAUAAAUAGGAUCCAAUGAAAUUUAAAUCUCGGAGAAAAUAAAUAAUCAUGCAGAUUUUCAAGAUUUUAAUAAGGGAUACUAAUAUCUUAUUUUGAUUAAUAACAUUCUUUUACUGUGUUAACUCAAAAAAAAUAUUAUAAUGCUUUACAAUAAAUACAAAUGUCCUAUUAAAUGAAUAUAUAAAAAAUUUAGAAAAUUAUAUAAAAUAAUUUUAAUAUAAUGCGUGAGAUAUAUUUUAUUAAUUUAAAAUGUCAUUUUACCUAAAAAAUAUGAUAAAUUAAUAAUUACAUAUUUGAAGUUAUUUCAAAUAUUAAAAAAAUUUAAUAUUAUUAAUCUUUUAGAUAGAUUAAAUUAUUUUUUAAAGAGAUAGAUUAAAUUAUUUUAAAAUACCUUAAUUGUUUUUACUUUAAACAUUACCGGCCUUUCUUUUAUUUUAUUACAAAUUAAUGCUAACAAGAAAAAGUUAGAUCAUAUUCCACAAAAGCAAAAGUGACAAACACAACCAGCUGGAAUCUUUUAUAAAACUACAAAUUAAAAUGGAUUUUUUUUUUAAAAAUUGUUAUAAAUUGGUGGCCCCUACAAUCCUCAAUAAUUGCACCGAUAUUCACAAGUUGGUGGCCCCUACAAUUCUGUUCCGAUAAUUUAACUGUGCAAGUGCUUAAUAAUUGUUUUGUUUUUUUCUGCAUUCCCUUUCAUGCUCUUAAUAAUUGAAGAGCAUACUUUUCAAAUGUGGAGCCGCAGCUAAUGUCGCUAAUUUAAUUUUGGAUUAAAUUAGGGGACCAUUAUAUUGUAGUGUGCACUAAUGAAUAUGUGAGAUAUUCAUAUUUUAUUAAUUUAAAAUACCAUUUAACCUAAAGAUUUAUUUAUGAUAAAUUAAUAAUUAUAUUUUUGAAAUUACUUCAAAUAUUAAAAAAUUAAUAUUACUAAUCUGUUAGAUAGAUUAAAUUAUAUAUAUUAUUUUCUAUUUAUUAAAAAAUUAAAAUUAUUUUUAAUUACUAUUCAAAAAAUAUAAUGAUAAAAAAAAUCUUAACAUCUUUAUUAAAAAUUUAAAAAUUUACAUGAUCAAUUCUCUAAAUAUUUAGGGUAUAUGUGAACCACGGUGGAGAAGCUUUAUUUAAUAUUAUUGAUUUAAAUAAUAUGUCAAUUAAAAAUGUACAGAGAAGGAAAUUUCGGUGGGUAUUUUAGUCUUUUCAGCAAUUAUCAUGAUCAGAUCAGCCUUUAGCCUUGAAACGUCGAUCAGAAAAGUUUUAAAAUGCUUAAUUGUUUUUCACUUUUAAAAAUUAAUGCUAACAAGAAAAAGCUAGGUCAUAUUCCACAAAAUCAAAAGUGACAAAACAACCAGCUGGUUUCUUUUACUAAACUACAAAUUAAAAUAGAUUUUUUCGAUAAAUUAUAAAUUAAAGUGGAUUCUUUUGAAUACAAGUGAGACAGACGAUUAGGCUCUUUUUAUUAAAGGCAAGUAAAAACUAGUCAAGAAUCGAAUAGUCUUUUUCAAAUUCUUGUUUUAUUAUUUUUCAAAACUAGUUUUUGGUAAUUACAAUCGGGUCAUUCAUUAAUCAUUAUUCAAAGUUACUGUUAUCUUCGGGGGCAGUGGGUAAAAGAUAAUUACUAACUGUUUUUCCUUCAAAAGUUACCGGCUCAUGUUUGCAAGUGUGAAUGUGCGAUGCUCUUUUCUUAAAGGCAAUUACAGUGGGGCCCGAAUCAGAGGUGCCUAAAUCUUUUUAAAAUUAAUAAUAAUAUGAGUAAUAAUUAAUAAUUACAGUGGGUCAACUUUUGAAAUUAGAGUCUAGUAUCUCUCUCCCUGUCAUUACUAAAUUUUCUCUUCCACAGCCUACAGCAGCUUCAGUUUAUCAAACUCAAUCAAUUUUCUUUCUUAACAAAAUUCCAAAGAUGUGUAGUAUUUUUCAGAUCACAUGCGAUGGUGCUCUUUUCAAUCGUUGCUUGGAUUGCUUUCUUGGAAAAGCAGCAUACAUACGUAACCUCCAAGAUAAUCUUGUAGCCUUGGAGACUGAACUGGGAAGACUAAUCGCAGCAAAGAACGAUGUGAUGAUGAGGGUUGUCCAUGCUGAACGGCAACAAAUGAGAAGGCUGGACGGAGUGCAAGUGUGGGUUUCGAGGGUGGAUUCUGUUAAAACUGGAGCCGACGAACUUAUCACAGACGGCUCUGAAGAAAUUGGCAAAUUAUGUGUUGGAGGCUACUGUUCCAAGAACUGCAGGUCAAGCUACAAAUUCGGAAAACAAGUGGCUAGAAAGCUACGACAUGUGGAGACUUUAAUCGCCGAGGGAGUUUUUGAGGCGGUGGCUACUGAGGUGGUGCCCGAGAGAGCUCCGGAACCUGUAGCAGAUAAAAGACCCAUUGAGCCAACAAUAGUAGGCUUGCAAUCACAACUUGAACAAGUCUGGAGAUGUCUUGCAGAAGAAUCAGCGGGAAUCAUUGGCUUAUAUGGUAUGGGCGGUGUUGGUAAAACCACACUAUUGACCCGUAUCAACAAUAAAUUUCUUGAGAAUCAAAACAACUUUGAUUGUGUGAUUUGGGUCGUAGUUUCAAAAGACCUGCGGCUUGAAAAAAUUCAAGAAGAUAUUGGGAAGAAGAUAGGUCUGUUUGAUGAUUCAUGGAAGAAUAAAAGUUUUGAAGAGAAAGCUGUGGACAUCCUGCGGAGAUUAGGAGAGAAGAGAUUUGUAUUGUUGUUAGAUGAUAUAUGGGAGCGGGUUGAUUUAACAGAAGUGGGCGUUCCACUUCCCAGCCCACAAAAUACUACAUCAAAAGUCGUAUUCACGACCCGUUUCAUUGAUGUUUGUGGUAGCAUGGAAAGUCACAGGAAGUUUAAAGUGGCAUGCUUAUCAGAAGAGGAUGCUUGGGGGCUGUUUCGAGAAAAAGUACGGCAAGAAACUCUUGAGAGUGAUCAUGAGAUCGUUGAGCUAGCCCAAACUGUGGCCAAAGAGUGUGAUGGUUUGCCACUCGCACUUAUUACUAUUGGUCGAGCUAUGGCCUACAGAAAGAAAGCGGAGCAGUGGAGACGCGCAAUUGAAG
rnacentral:lncRNA from 1 species